rnacentral:lncRNA from 1 species
CUGCUCAGGAAGGAAGCCGCUCAAAUCGUACACAUAGCUGACCUCGAACGCUUUCGAGCCGGCGGUGACGUGGACGUCGAUCAUCUUCGUGGCGGCGGCGUAGUUGAUCCUUGCCGUCACCUGCUGCCCGAUUAUGGAGCCGUCGACCUCCGUCGUGUUGCCGGAUGACCUAGAGCCGAUGUCGAUGCCGAUGUGGGGAUAGUUCGGAUCCCACGCGCCGUUGACGUAGGUGUCGAACUCGACGGCGAAGACCGAGGGGCUGCUGCCGGAGGAGCCGAAGAUUCCGAGGUUGGAUCCGCUAGAGGAGGAAGGGAUGGUGGACCCGACGGGGGCGAUGAAGAAGGCGAGGCCGUCGGCGGCAGAGUUGCCGGGGCCAGGUGUGAUGAUGAAGUUUACGGUGGUUUCAAAGUCGACUUGGCCGCCGGUUUGUGAGAACUGGACCGGGUUCGAGUACAAUACCCGGCCAACUUUGGCGGUCUGUGCGUCGGUGAGGCGGAGGAAGGUGGAGUCCGACGGGAAAUGGGCGUCGCCUUGGUAGGUGAGGUCGGUCGGCUGGUCGCCCCAGAAGUCGUAGGUGAAGGACGUCGAUUGGGACUGCGCCACGUUGGCGGCGGCGAGGAGUAGGGCGACGGAGGAGAGGAGAGGAAUUAGGGUUUGGAGAAGCUUGGCCAUUGCUUAAUUGAUUUGGAUGUGGUGGAUGAUGGUGAUAUGUCUUAAGCUUGCACUCCUAUAUAUACUAGUGUAGUUCAUGCAUGAUAAUGUUGUUUAAUCAUCAUAUAUUUUAUUUCAUUAAAAUGAAUCACCUCGUCCAUUCGAGGUAAAUGAACCAUGUGAUCUUAUGUACUACCAGCCACAUUUUAAUUUGCUCGUUGGAAUAUUAUCUAUAGUUGUAUCUAUUGUAUUUGUAUAAAUGAUUUUUGGAAGGGAACUUAGAAAAAGUUCUUGAUAGGGGCUGUAUUUUUUAAUUUCAAGUGCAAAAUUAAGUUUUGAUAGACAAUUUACUUAUGAUUCAAUUUAACGAUCGGGUUUUCUGAAAAAAAAAAAUUCACACAAAAAAUCGAUUAUUUAAUAAUUUUAUAAGAAAAAAGAAGAAGAAGAAAUUUUCUAUUUAGGAUAUACACGAGCAGAUGAGAUCCUCUGUCCCACUAUUUUGUGUGUACCACCAUGUACCAUUCUUAAUUUAUUUAUUUUAGUAAUUAUUUUUUAUAAAAAUAAAAAUUAUUAUUAUAUUUUUUAUUUUCAUUUAAGUGAGUUACUAGAUUUAUUUGGGGUGAGCACAGGUUAUUUUGGAAAAGGAGAAUAUCUGUAAGAUGAUGUGAAAAUUAUUCAAUAUAAGCACAUAUAGGGGUUGAGUUCUCAAAGGAACUUAAUUAAUAUCCAAUGUGAUUGAUACAUUUCGACUAAAUGGAUGGACUGUGACGCCCCGACCAAAAGUAAAGAGUGAUUGUGAUCGGUGCACAAGGCAUGGAUGAAAAGCGGUUCCUAGUAAUGCUUCGAUACGGAGGAUACAUGAAUGAAUCGAAACACACCAGAAAGAGAGGGAUUCCAUGAGUACGUACGCAGGUAUAUGACUGCAUAUUCGAGGAGCUUAAAUAAUUUUAUUGGUGUUACUCAUAUCAACAAGAUGCAUCUUCUUUUUUGGUGACCAUAUGAAAUAAACUCCAAGGUUAAGCGUGCUUGGCGUAGAGCAACUUGAUGAUUGGUGACCUCCCUAAGAAGUUUAUCAGAAAGCGUGCUAGUAAGAACAAAACAUGCUAGAAAAGACUCAUAUUAGUCUGUGGGGACAGCCGUUAAAUUUGGAUUCGGGUCUUUACAAGUGGCAUUAGAGAUUAACCUCUCACAGUAUGGUGCGGUUCGGGAACGAACCAAGCGGAAGUUGGUACUCAAUAUUCCAUCUAUUGUGAGUUUCUUUGUCUUCUUCAUCUUUCUUUUACUCUGCUGUCGAGUUUCAGAGAGUAAUCAGAUAGGUUUUCAUUCGAGUUGAGUUUCUUGAGUGAUAAACUGUUAAUUGUGAGUUUCAUUCGAUCAUUUGUUGAUUAUAAAUAUCUGCACAUGGAUAUUGGUCAAUUUAGAUACACUGAUCUUCAAAUUGAUUGACGAAUCUUUAGAAUUCAAAAUUUAAAUCAAAUACGCGUGUUCAUAGUUAAUUGGUAAGUACACUUUUUUUUNAUAUAAAUAUAAUUGACUCGAGAUCUCUGCUACUUACGCAUACUUCGCUCGAGACAAAAAUAAAUAAUUGAUCAUUGAGAACUCCGCUACCACACCAUACUCGUGUACUAUUUAUCAUUGUUUAUGAUUAUUAAUAAAGACGUGUCUUUGCCUGAUAAAUUUAAUUUUCAUACUCUUGAUUCUUUUUUGGCCAUAUCAUUUUUUAAAAAAUUGGGAGGGGAAUGGUGGAAAUUGAAUAUGAAAAAUACCAGUCAAAUGAUACAUGUGCACUUUCAAAGACAAAACAUAAAUGUAACCUUCGUUUGUAAAACAUAGAAAUUCUACCAUAUAUUUGUGAUUAUUUUACCUUUAUACGAUCUAUUUAUAUAUAUUUAUUAGAAUUAAUAAAAAUAUACUACAUUCGUCCACGAAAAAGAAUCUCAUUGUGUGCUGGAUGUGAGUCGUAUCGAGAGUGAGAGGGAACACAUUGUCUCCGGUCUCUGCCGUCUUGGCGAGAUCUUCGGCAUUGGCCUGAUCCGGCCGCUGAGGUGGCCGGUAGGUCAUCCAUGGAGUAUGGCUAUAUUCAUACUCGUAUCCCAUUUUGGUUGUAGAACAAGAAGGCGGUGUUGUUGAAAUCGUCGUCGUUGAUAUCCUUUGGAAAACCGGCUGGGAUAGUUUUCGCCAUUAGAGUGAUGUGCGUAGAAGAGAGGAUCUUCCGGCGGUCUUCGCGGAAACCGUUGUCGCGUGUCCAUAGUUCAUGGAUUGAAAAUAUGCAGGUAAAGCACCCGGCGUACUCGGCCAUACAAUUAACUCGCCAUCAUGAGCUAUAAUUCUAUUCGAGUAAGUUCAAUCUCUAAUGAAUUAAUAUAUUUUUAUAAAUAUAUAAUUUGCAAAAUAACCUUAAAAUAAAAUAUGUAAUAAGGGUAAAAUAGGCAAUCCACAUGUUGUGCUCAAUGCUCUUUUUAUAUUACUAGGAGAAAGAUAAUUAAUGUUAUUUUAUCUAAUAAAAUAAAAAAUAUAAAUAUAAUAUUUAUUAUAUUUAAAUUUUUAAUUAACAAUUUUGUUUAUUUAAUUCUCUUAUCUCUUACAAUAUUUUUUUUUAGAAAAUCUAUUAGUUCAUUACUUCGACUAAAUAUAAUUUAUUGGAUAGAUAUAUUUAUUUAUAAGCCUUAUCAAUAGCUAUAGAUAUAUAUUACAUAGAUUUAAUGUAAUAUUUAAUGAAUCAAUAGCUCUUUUCUUUUAUAUUAGUAUAGAUUAUAUAGAUAGAUAUAUAUAGUGCAUGCAUGAUAAUGUUGAUUGAUCAUCGUAACUAUAUAAUUUAUUGCACUAAUAAUGAAUCACGUUCCCACUCGAGGUAUAUAAAAUGAAUCAUGUGACCUUUUCUACUACCCGACACAUUUUGCUCCUUGGAAUAUUAUUUAUAAUUGUGUCUAUUGUAUAGUGCAUGCAUGAUAAUGUUGUUUAAUCAUCAUAAAUCUUCAUGGCUCAUCCACCUCAUCCAAUCGAAGCAUAUAAUGAACCAUGUGAUCAUAUCUACUACCUGACACAUUUUGCUUCUUGGAAUGCUAGCUAUAAUUGUAUCUAUUGUGUGAAUGUAAGCAAAAGGGCGCGCACAAUUUUUUAUUUUUUUUUGGAUAGGUGACUCGCUCAAAAUACCUAUUGAAUUGACUCGUAAUCGCACGAGGUCAUUCUAGCGUAGUAAGCUAACCCAUGUCGUAUCUCACAAGGAAGAUUAAGCAGGACGACUAAUUUUGGAUUAUUUUUAAUCAAAUGUUGGAUAUUUUUUAAUUAGAGUAAAAUUAAAAUAAGUAAAUUAUUGUAUAUUUUCAGAUUCGGAAACUAAUGGCUUUAUUUUAAUUUAAUCAUUUUCAUAUGUCAGUUAUAUUAUGUAAAUGACGUUUUUAGUAACAAACAAAUGACAUUUUAAUCAAUAAAUGAUACUUUUAUCAAUAAUAAAUGAAACCAUAUUAAGGUAAAUAGGGUAAAGGUUAGACUUAACUGUGAAAGCAUCAUGAGUUUUAUGUGUAACAUUUUCGGUGUGAAAAUUGAUGAGUUAAAAAAAAUGCUCCAUAUUGAAUUCGACAUUAGAUGAAUCUACAGUAGAUUUUCAUGCAUGAUCUAAGAGCUGAAAAUGAUUCACGGUCUAUAUUUAUUCUAUCAAAUUCCAUAUCACUUUAAAUCUCAAAUUACAUUUGCACUAUAUAUGAUUAUAUCCUAAAUUAUCAUAAAUAUGAACCGCUUAAAUCUGGCGUCGUUGCACCGCGGACAUCUUGCCGCUGCUUUCUCCCACCAUUGCCCUUGCUGCCCUCAUCUUAGGUGCCAAUUUUUUGCUCGUCGUGCAGAAUUUGAAAGGGGUAAAUUAUUUUUUCAAUUUUUUAUUGCAUUUUGCUGUCUAAGUUGAUUUCUCAAGUAAAGUGGACUUGGGUUUUGUUUCGAUUAUAGCUGAAUUCGAUGGCGCUGUGUGGUUAGAUCUGUAAUUUUGACGUGUUGUUGAAGUGUGCGGGAUUGAAUGUGAUCUGGGAGAAUUUAAGGGUUUUGGGACGUUAGUAUGAUGAUGGUGGGAUUUGAAUGAAUUUGAAUACCAGAUUAUGGUUGAUGUUUAAUUAUGUGAAUCUUGCGAUCUGUGUUGAAAUUAAUGUACAGUAUCUUCGCCUAGCCGGGGGUUCACCAUUUGGUUCCCGACCGUCCUGCUGCCUUCACUCCACACUCAAGUGCCAAUAUCUUCUUCUCGUUUCUCUUCCUUCUUCUUCUCCUCUUAGUACCUGCAAGACAGAAGGAAAAACCAGCAAGUAUAAAGAAAAAUCAGAAAACUUAAAGAAGUAAAGAAAGAAAGAAAACAAAGGAAACUCGAGGUGGGAAAAAGGUGUCCUCGGGACACAGGUGGCUCAGAUUUUUCCCACAGUGGCAACACACUCCGGCAGCUCAAAGACCACGGCACAAAGGGGAAGGGAAGUCAGAUCGGAGCUCAAAUCUGACGAGCACAGCCACCAAUAAUCAGGAAUCCGGUGGACAGGAUUCCGGCGGCUCAGAAAUCCUUCGCUUUAUCACCAAACAGGAAAUCUAAGGUCAGCAAUCCGACAAUAAUGCUAUCAACAGGAGGAAGCUCUCACUUUACGGCCACAACACCGGAAACCAGAACGGAAACCAGAGAACAGAAGGAAUAGCAGAGCCUUCAAGGUUGUGAACAUACUACAGAACUUCCCCCAAUCGAUUGCUUUAUAACCGAGACAGAGAAGGGUCGGGAAGAUGUAGUGGGCUUUGGGAAGGAGGAGGAAGCCAUUAAUGGUGGUGGAGCUCGAGGGAAAGCGAGAUCAGCAGUCGUGAAGACUUAGGGUUUGGGAGGGGAUUUGAGGUGGAGCGGCGGAGGUUGAAAUGAGGGAAAGGCCGAGUGAGAGAGGGAGUAUUUCAGUGGAUAAUGGGCUAGGGUAUUUUUGAGUUAACGGGCUAUAGGUGUCUGGGCCCAAAAGUUGGGCCAGAGAAGGGAUAAAGAGCAUUGGGCCAACAUUCCACAAUUAAGACAAUUAAGAGUAGAAAUUCUUCUUGAUUUGCUAAUUUAUUUAGGAUUAGCGAUAUUAGUUUGGAGUUUUAGAUGUCGAUUGAUUUCGUGAUCUUGAUUUAUGUGAUAAAUGCCUCUCAUCACUAAGAUUUGGAAUAUAUUGGAUAUCUAGGAUAGUGAUAUUAGUUUGGAGUUUUAGAUGUUGAUGUGUCUUUUUAGGCUGCGUUUACUUUGAUGGAUAAAUUUAUAUAUGGAAAAGGAUGGAUAACACAAAUUUAUGCUUUUAAAUGUCUCCUUCCUCUUCCAACAUUUGACACAAAAAGAGAUGCUCGCUAUUUUUUCUUCCUUAUCUUCACUUCAAGGAUGGAUAAUAUUAUCCCUCCAUUUUGGUGUGAUAAUAUUAUCCAUCAUUGAAGUGAAGAUAAGGAAGGAAAAAUAGUAGAGCAUCUCUUUUUGUGUCAAAUGUUGGAAAAGGAAAGAGACAUUUAAAGGCAUGAAUUUGUGUUAUUCAUCAUUUUCCAUAGAUAAAUUUAUCCAUCAAAGUAUACGAAGCCUUAUGUGAUAAAUGCUUUUUUAGGGGGGCCCACGGGCAUGCUGCCCCAUAUGCUAUGGAGUAUGGACCAUGGUGGCUCGGUCACUGCGCUCUCGAUUGCGAAUUAUUUUGCAUUAUCUUUGUUUGUUUUUCUUAUAUUGGGAAAGAAAACAUAGAGUAAUAUAUAUUUUAGAAGUCCAGUUACCAAUGUCGUCAAUCUCGAGUGAAAAUAAAUAUUACCAUAACACAAAAAUGACAAAGCUAUUGAUUAGUGACGAUAUGUUAGAAGUUCAGAUAAACAACACAUUUAUUCUUGUGUAUAUUAUAUUAACGUUUAUUAUAUAUUAUAAAAAGAACAUAUUCUUUCAAAAUUAUCUUGUCUAUUUUUAGAAGUUCAGAUAAACAACACAUUUUCAGAAGAAAUUUAAUAAUCUCUUACGAUUUACAUAUAAUUUUUAAAUAAUUAAUUAUCUCAGUGGUGAUAAAAUAAAAAAACGAAGUAAUUUAUUAUAUACAAAAUAUUAUGAUUUAUGUUUGUAUAUUAUUUGUUUCCAUUAGUGCAUUAUCAUUUCUAAGUAUCUUCUCACUUGUUCACUGAUUCACUAUUGGAUUAACAUGAAUAUACGAAUUUCAUAGUAUACCAACCGUUCGAUAAAAGUCCUCAAAGAAAUCUUCCAUAGAUAACCUUGCAAAAGUACGUGUAUCUAUAUUAAUAGAAUAAGAGCCUAAGGAAUCUUAAAACACAAUUUUUGGAUUGCCUAUUUUACCACUAUUAUAUAUUAUUUUAAAAUUAUUUUACAUAUUAUAUAUUAAUAGGAAUAUAUUAAUUCAUUAGAUAUUACACUAAAUCUAUGUGAUAUAUUUCUAUAGCUAUUGAUAAGGCUUAUAAAUAAAUAUAUAUCCAUCUAAUAAAUUAUCUAAUAAAAGUAAUGAAUUAAUAGAUUUUUUAAAAUAAUAAAUUAUCAAAUAAAAUAACAUUAAUUACACACGUACGUUCUUUCUGCUAGCUAGUUAAAUAAAAAGAAGAAGAAACUGAGACUGAAAAAGGGAGAAUUAAGAUAGUCCAUUAUUAUCGUCUUAUUUUUAGAACUUAAACGAGAGAAAAGUCCAUCGCUAGUCCUAAUUUACAACACAACACAACACAUGAUAAUAAAUUUAAAUCACACAUAUUGCCGGAUGUACCCUUCCUCCUCUUUGCCGGCGGCGGCAUGCACGAGGGUGGACGUGAAAUACCACGAGACGAUGUCGUGCACGGCGUCUUGGCCUCCGGUGGCCGCGGAGAUCCCGACCUGAACCUGCUGAGGAAGAAUGGCGCUCAGGUCGUACACAUAGCUCACCUCGUAUGUUUGCGAGCCGGCGGCGAGGCUCACGCUGAUCAGCUUAGUGGCUUCCAGGUAGUUGAUGCGCGCAGUCACCUGCUGCCCGAGCAACGCGUUGCCGACGUUGGUCACGUUUUUGGAAACAUUAGAUUCGAUGUCGAUCCCGAUAUGGCGAUAGCUAGGAUCCACUCCGGGGUUGGAGAAGACGUCGAAUUCCACGGCGAAGACGGCGGGGCCGACGCCGGAGGAGUUGAAGAUUCCGAAGCAGCCGCCGGUGAAGCCGAGGGGUAAGCCGACGGGGGCGAUGAAGAAGGUCACGCCGUCGGCGGGGUUCGUGUCGCCUGCGUUGGGGGUUACGGCGAACGUCAGGGUGGUCUCGAAGUCGACCUGCGCGCCGGCCUCCCAGAACGUGAUCGGGGCUGAGUACACGGCCCGGCCGACGCUGUACUGGACCGCGCUGCCGGAGCUGGUGGUGUUGGUCAUGCGGAGGAAGGUGGAGUCCGACGGGAAGUGGGCGUCGCCUUGGUAGAGGAGAUCGGUCGGCUGGUCGCCCCAGAAGUCGUACGUGAAGGCUGUCGAUUGGGACUGCAUGCGCCGUGUUGGCGGCGGUGGCGAGGAGGAGGGCGAUGGAGAUUAGGGUUUGGAGAAGCUUGGCCAUGGCUUAAUUGAGUUAGUAGUAUUUGCUUUGGAUGUGGUGUGAUGAUGGUGUAUUGGUGUUAACUCUUGCUCCUAUUUAUGCUAGUAUAGUGCUUGAAUGAAAAUGUUAUUUAAAUUAACAUCAUAUUUUUUAUUACACAAAAAUGACUCACCCCAUCUUCUCGAGAUUAACUGAACUUGUGAUCUCUAAUAAUUUAUAACCUACCACAUUGUAGUUGUUGGAGUAUACUCCCUCUGUCCCGGUUUUAGCACGAGUUUUAAUAAAUUGGUUGAUUGUAUUAUGAGUAGAAUAAGGAUAAUAUUUUUUAUGGAAGUGUUAAAAUAAUUAAAAUUGAGAAAAUGUUUCACCUAUUUUUAUUAAAAAUAGAAAUGAAUUUUAAAAUAUGGGACGACGGCCAGAAAAAGAAAAUAUAUAUGGAUACUAAAAGUUGGGACGGAGUGAGUAUUAUCUAUAGUGGUAUCUAUUGUAUGAGUACAAGAGAUUUACUUGACUUGUUGAGGUAUGGAGAGAUUAUUACAAACCACGUGAAAUUGAGUUCUUGCUCCCACUGUAAAAGCAAUAAAUAUAGGGAAAAGAAAAUUAAUACUUCCUUCGUCCAAGAAAUGAGUACACAUAUUUCUUUUUUAGUCCGUUCAUGAAAUGAGUACUCAUUAAUUUUUCUUUUUAUCAAGUGUACCUCACACAACCCUUUAAUUAAUUAAUACCUUUAAAAAGUGGGUCCCUUAUUCCACUAACACCACACUCAAUCAUUUCUUAAAACCUGUAACGUCCCCAAAUGAGAUUCAUUUCGUGGAUUGAGUAAAUUCUAUACUACAAAUUAAUGGUUCGAAUUCACUUUAAAAAAUAAACUACAAUUAAGAGUCCCUCUCUUAAUUGGAAUUCAUAGACCAUCUGCUUCAGUCGUGCCCGAAGACAGAAAAGGUUUGGAUUGGAAUUCAUAGGUGGCUAGGGAAUAAAAGCAGUGUGGCCUCAAUCAUUGAAGCACACUUCGAUUUGUUCACAAAUCUUGACAAAGGAAAGGAAGGUCGAUUUUUCUAGCGACAGUAUGGGUCUAUACCAUUUGGUUGCUGUGGAAAUGACGUAACGAGAGCAGAUUUGAGGGCAAGACUUGGGAGAUCAAUGACGUGAUCGAAGAAGUGAAAGUGAGGAUGUGGAGUUGGAACAAGAUUUUUGGACUACAUGUUAAAGAGAUUAGCUCUCAAUCUUGGUUUUCUUGUGAAACUCCUCUUGUUUUGUGUAAUUUGGUCGUAUCUCUGGUACCAAACUCUCUCCUAAUAAAAUUUCUUUUCUGAUUAAAAAAAAAAAAAAGAGUCCCUCUCUUAAUCAAGUAGACUGGAUGCGGUAAGAGAGAAAUCACUUCCAACUUAUCGAUUUUACUAGCAACAACUAGAUUUAUACUGAAGCUAAAUUGGAUCAGACUCUAGGAUUCACUAGUCUUUUACUCAAGGUGAGUCGGUUUACGAGUCUCAAACUCAAGGUGAACUAGAAUGUCUGUCAAUACGAACGUUGGGAGUUCGAGGGUUUUUUAGGACAGUAACUUAGAUUGAUUUGGAAAUUAGGACAAUAACUUUCGGACUUGUAAAAAUAGGACUCUAAUUCUUUUUAAGAGUAAAAUAGGACACUAAUUAAUAAGUGUUACAUCCGCAGGACAUUUUUCGGCCAAUUAUCGGCCGAGAAAUGUCCUACUUUUACGACGCUUAUUAAUUAGUGUCCUAUUUUUACAAAUUCGAAAGUUUUGUCUUAAUUUUCAAAUCAACAUAAGUUAUUGUCCUAAAAAAUCCCCUGACUCCGAACGUUGGAACAAGCUCGGCAAUAUACUGCUAUUCAACAUUAAUGGCACUUUGCACUAAAUGAAUUGGUGUCGAAUUAAUACAUCGUCUUGCUGCUCAUAUCUAUAUAAUAAAUGCAUACCUGCACCUCGAUAUUAAUCAAUUUAGAUACACUAAAUCUCGGAUAUACUUAACAAAUGGAUUAAUAAAUGUAUAAAUUUUAGAUUUCAGAAAAUCAAAUACAGGUGUUCAUAAGGAAAUGAUUAAAAACCCGUGUGUCAUUUAGAUAAGAUUAUUAUAGUACAGUUAACGAUGGUGAAAUAUUCUUUUACAUUAGAUAUAAUAGCAUUCCAGAUCUCAAUGGCAUUUUUUGUUAUAACAAAAAAAAAUUGUAUAUGUUCCAUACUAUCCUCAAACUUCAAAUUAUUAUUUUUCUUUAUUUUAAAAUUUGUAUUGGCACAUAUCUGUCAAUUAAUCAAAUUCAUAUCAAAACAAUAAUUCGAAUGAUAUAUUAGUUGGCUAGCUAUAAAUUACAAAUUAUUAGUGAUUAGGCAUGUUUUACACAAAUUAUUAGCCCAAACAACAUUUGAUUGUGUGCAAUGCACACACUUACUAAAAGCAGAUGUGAUCAUCUGUCCCACAAUUUAGUGUGUAUCACCGUGUACCAUUCUUAAUUUGUCUAUUUUAUAAUUAUUUGUUGUAAAAAUAAAAAAAAUAUUGUUAUAUUAUGAACUCUAAUUAAAAUUUAUAACUAAAAAUAAAAAUUAAAAAAAAUUAUAUACCCUAACUUUGAAUUAAUUAACCCAAAUAAUCAAUUAUUAAUUCAAAUAAAUAUAAAAAAUAAUUAUAAACUCUAAUUGAAUGAGUGAACCCUUAUUAAUUAGUUUCUUAUUAUAUUAUAAUAAAUUAAAAUUGAAGAAAAUAUAAUUAUAUAUUAUAAUAAAUUAAGAGUGGUACACGGUGGUACACACUAAAUUGUGGGACAGAUCCAUGUGCACUAAAUUAUAGGUACGGAGGUGCGGAUGCGGGGGCGAUACGAUACGAGUACGGGGAUACGGGUUCUAAAAAAUUAUAGGGUGCGAUUCGGCAAGGAUACAUCUAAUUAUUAAAAUUUUAUGAUAUACUAAUUGUUAGAAAUGGAUAUUGGGCCAAUUCCUCCCUUAAAAGGCCUUAUAAGGGAGAGGGUUACCUCACCAUAUAAAGUGGCUCAUGCCACUAUCUCCAAUCCAAUGUGGGACACUUCAAUACUAAUGCUUAUAAAAUAUAUACAAUUUAAAUUUUCUUAAAUUAAUUAUAUGUAAUUUACAUUUUAUUUUACCCAAAAGUUAAGCAUUUUCAAUUAUAUAAGUUAAUUGAGCAACAAUAUAACGAUUCAAAUAUUAUUAGUCCAAUAUAUAAGUCAUAACUGAAAAUAAAAUUAUCAAAAUAACCUUGUGUAGGCCUUUCGUGCACGAGAUACGUGAAUUUCGCCUAUGGAAUUUGCAAAUCCGGUUUAUUUUUAUAAAUUGUUUUAAAAGAUACGCACUGGUGAAUCGGUGCGAAUCCGACAAGAAUUCGAGAAAUCACACCCUAAAAGAAUCCGAUUCGCCGUACAUCUAAUUUUUGAAGAAUCCGUGCAUCAUAGGUGAGAAGAAACACAAGAGAGUAAAAUGGUACAUAAUGUAGAAAGACUUUUCUCCAAAAUAAAUGUUACAGUCUUCUAAUAGUCGAAAGGCGCAUGAAAAUGCGCAGUUAUUCGAAAGAAAGGAAAGGCUUAUUCAGCCACACAAUGACAUGGAAUUCGAAUUGAAAUUGAAAUUCAGACAAAUCCCAAACACGGUGAUGCAGAGAUCAAGCGGUAACACGAGGAAUGAUCUUAAUACCACCGAUGGUAACUUCGUCGCCGUUAAUGUGGGGAACGAUGGUGACGACAAUGAAAUCAUCAUCAGCAAUAUUGAUGUUCUCAUAGAGCUCCCUCAAGUUCAAGCGAAGGUCGUUGGCGCUUUCCGCAGCCCUAACCCUAUGCGGAAUCUGCGUGAAACUGCCGGCGAACUCGGCCCUGGCGAGGUCCUCUGGCUUGUCGUCUUCGUCAUUCACGAACACAUCGAACCUCACGAGCUUCGAACUAUCGGUGAUUAUGUUCUCCAGCACGAGCACUUCGUCGGCUUUGCCUUUGGUUGGUUUGGGCACCAAAACCCUGUGAGUCUUGUUGAGAGUGAGAGGGAACAGAUUGUCUCCACUCUCUGCCCUCUUGGAGAGAUCUUCGAUAUUCACCGGCACCUCCCUCCGCGGUGGCCGGUAGGCUGUCCACGGAGUUUCGCUGUGUUCAUACACGUAUCCCAUUUUGGUGUGGUCCAAGCAGUCGGCCACCUUGACGCGCACGAGGUUCUUCUUCUCGUCGUAGAACAUGAACGCCGCGUUGUUGAAAUCGUCGGGGUUGGGGACGACGAGGUCGUUGAUAUCCUUGGGGAAAACGGAUGGGAUAGUUUUCCAUAUGGUCCACAUUCUGUCGACGUUAGCGUGAUGUGCGUAGAAGAGAGGGUCUCUUCCGGCGGAGUAGAAGUUCCCCAUGUCUUCGCGGAAAUCGUUGGCGGGGUUUCCGGUCCAGACGUGGACGCCGCCGUGUGAGCCGCCCUCCGACAAUCCUCCCUUGGCGCGUGGCGGGGGCAAGUCCCCGGAAACGUAAGGAUCGCCCAUGAAGUCGAUGGCGGAUUCGACAUCACCAAUCAUUUCCUUGUACAUCUGAGUGAGAUUGUUUUCGAUGAUCGUUACAGGAUCGGUGAUCGGGGGGGUGGUUAUGGCAAGAGCAACGAGGGCCGGGGGGCGAUGCGUUGGGUCGCGGUUGACGUCGUAGAGCGGGGAUUCUUCCCUGUCGAACGGCCUGGGCAUCUGCAUACCCCUAGGGUUGUCCCAGUUCCAGUAGGGCAGGGCGAAAUCGGGAUCUCCGAUGAGUUCGCCCAUGAUCCUCUCGAAGAAAUAGAGGUACCACCUGUGGAAGGGGUGGAUCCAGAAUUUGUCAUUAGGAGGGACUAAAUUUGUUGAAGCAUGACGUCUCAAAUUAUUAGCCAAUUUUUUUUAGCAUUCCAUACAGUUCAUUUUUUUGUCGAACUACAUUCGAUUAAUUCAACAACAAGAACAUUGAAAGCAUAUAAAUACUUACCUCUCAAAAAUUGUUUCAUCUUCUAAGAAGAUAAGCUAAUUUUCAUCAUGGCAGUUCAUAAUUUUAAUUUAACUUGAGGAUUGACUCAAAUUCAACACUGAGAAUCAACUAAGAAAGGAAAGUAGACAAAAAUAACAUAAAUUUAACAAACUAACAUAUCAAAUUUAAAUCACUAUAAAAUAUUAAACAGUUAAAACGUGGAUACUAUAAUUAAUAAAACAAUGUAUUUUAUUAUCUCUUGUAUUUCUUAUCUAUACUAAUAGAAAAAGAGUCUAAGACAGUCUAAGGCACAACUUGUGGAUUGCCUAUUUUACCCUUAUUAUAUAUUUAUUAUUAUAUUUACAAAAUAUAAAUCUAUUUUGAUAAAUAUUUAUUUGUCACUCAAAUCUAUAAAGAAUACUUUAUAUCUAUAGCUAUUGAUAAGGCUUAUAAAUAAAUAUAUUCAUCCACAACGUACGUUCUUUCUGCUAGUAUAUAAUAAAAACAAAAACAAAAAACUCAAAAUUUGGGAGGCGGUCGAUCCGCUGCUAACCUGUGGAAAGGGAAGAAGAUCCAUGAGUUGUGAACCUGGAUAUCGAUGCCGGGGUGGUCCACCUGGUCGUAGGGGCCGUUGCAGUAAGCGCAGUGGAUGUUGGCCUGCUGAGUGAAGCCACGGGGAUCGUCGGGGUCCGUCACGUCCAGUUCCUUCAUCUUCUGGAUGGCCAACUCAUACUUGCGUACGUAUUCCGGUGUCAGCCUGUGCGCCGCCGGCCUAACGCGAGGUUUAGUGAACCUCGGAAGCUUGUAGUCGCUCUGAACGUCGGUGUAGGGCGGGCAGCAGUUGACGUCUAGAGAUAUUACCUCUUGGUUUCGAGUGGUGUAGGCACCUUCGGGGUCGCAGGUGCUCAGGUCAGGAGGCAAAAUCGGAAGCGCCUCAGCUUUGCGGAUGGCGCUGCCUGCGCCGUAUAGACCGCCCAGCCCAAGCAGCAUGUUUCUGCGGUCUAUACGGCCGCUGCCACCGCCACCGCUGCUGCAUGACACCUGAAAGCGGCCGUGGCUCCGCCGGCUGCUGAGCUGGGAGGGCUUGCGAAAUGGGGAGUUGGUGGCGGCGGCGAUCGCCGUGAAUGAAGAUUGAAGGGAAGCCAUGUUUGAGUGAUUGAUUGAUGGUCGUUGUGAUUACCUGGGGAGGCAUGUCUUUAUAUAGCAGAUGUGACACGAGUUUUAAGAAAAAUAAAUUAUCCGUUGAAUAAUUAAAUCGCCAUGUUUCUAUAAUUUAUUCCUAAUGGAUCUAGUCAAACUAAUCGUGCAAUAUUUAAUAAACCACGCAGCAUCAUUUCCGAGACUAAUAAAUGACAUUUUGAACCAGCUAAUCAAUUCCAUAUAAUUAACCAUUUGCGAGGCUGGCUGCCCUUCACUAAAUGGUUGUAUGCACUUGUCUUUGGAAAAGCUGUUUGGCCAUAUUAUGGCCAGUCAUAAUAUGGGAAAAUAUUAUAAAAGUCAUGUAUUUAAUUUUUUAUAUUUAAAAUAAAAAUAGGAUUUUAUUAGUUUUAUUUUUUAUUACAUAUUUUAGCUAUUUUUUUUUAUAAUUUUUCUGAAUUUUUUAGAAAAAUAAAAAAUAAAAUUACAAUGUGAACAAAAUUAUAAAACUAAUAAUGGUAGAGCAGCGGAGGGCACAGGUGAAGGGCAUGGCGGCGGUGUACUUAUUUUAGUCAAGUAAUUAUUAUUGCACGAAAAAAUAAUUAUUAAUAUAAAGAAAGAUAAUGUUUCAAAGACAUUAUCUUUCUUCAUGUCUAUUAAUUUUUCAUCACAAUAAUAAUUACUUCGAAUUAUCCGUGUUUUCAAUCGUGCGACCUGCACCCAGCCCGACCCGACCCGUUUCACCCAUAUAGUCAGUCUCACCCAAGUUUUUGCCUAAAGAUAAGUAUUAAUUAGUUGUGUAUGGUGAUAUGAGUCUUGUUUGUAUAAAUUAGUAGGCCUUUAAUAAUGAAUUGGCCCAUCUCAGGUGGUUUAUAUAAUUUACUCGUAUGGAUCUAAAUACAACUAAUCAUGAAAUAUUUAAUAUACCACGGAGCAUCUUUCUGAUAUACUAUUUAUAUAGUAAUUUAUUCCUAAUGGAUCUAAUCUCUGACUAUUUAAUAAUUAACUCGCCAUCGUUUAAAUAAUUUACUCCUUAUGGAUACACUCAAAGUAAUCGUGCAAUAUUUAAUAUACCACGCAGCAUCAUUUCUCAUACAAUAUUUUGGACCAUCUAACCAAUUACAUAUAAUUAAACCUUUUGCCAGGGUGGCUGUCCCUUCCACUAUAUGGUUGCAUGUAUUGAAUUGAAAUUUUAUUGAGGAAAAAAUGAAAAGAAAAACUAGGAAUUCAUUGAUAGCACGAAGACGCUAAUUAAGGGCUGAGCCUCAUCAAAACCUUUCCGAUAAAAAUCCAGUGAAAAAAACCACCAGCAAAGGAAAAAGAGUACCAGUCUAUUACAAUAAAAAAAUGAAGAACAAACUCAAGACAGGAACAACGAGAAGCACGAGAGGAUGAUAAAACAUCUAACCCGAAAAAAAAGACCCAAACCAAAGGAGCCUGACAAAUCCGGAGCCAGUACCAGCGCACCAGGAAACUGAAAAAGUUCUGGAGAAGCCACUUCGACCCAAGCACGCCAACCAUCCAAAAGAAACGACUACCACACCCACACCUAGGCCAAGAAAUAUAUAAUAUUGUGAAUAGUUCCCAUGGGAUCGAAACAGACCACCAAAACAAGAAAAAACCUCUAAGAGCAGACUACUCAUUGCCUGCCUGCCUAGUAUUCGAUGAAAUACCCAAACCAGAAAUCAUAGCAUAAAGCAAAAACCGCCACAGCUGGGGAGCGAAGAGCAGAAGGCCACCAAUAAGAUACAUUAGGAUUGCGCAAAGUCUGACAAAGAAAUCAGAAAACUUACCAGACCACUCUAGUUAAUGUAAUCUAUACAUGUCCGCACAUGAAAUUUGGUCAAGUUAGAUACACUAAUCUCAAAUCUAUUUAAUUAACAAAUUGAUUGAUUGAUAUUUUUUUCUGAGAGAAAUUGAUUGAAUAAUUUUUAGACUUCAAAAACUAAUAGUUAAUUGAUUGUUUAGAUAAGAUUAUUAUUACACUUUUAUAUAGAGAUAAUUAGUACUUGAGAUAUGUGCAAUUUACGCAUUCUUCUCUCGAGACAAAAUAAAUAUUAUUGACCAUUGAGAACUCUGCUACCACUACUCCAGUUCUAUUUAUUAUCAGUGUGCCCUCUCGCGCGCUGCACGGGUCACAACAUAUUUGAUUAUUUAAUUUUAGCUGUUUACGCAUACUUCGCUCGAGACAAAAAUAAAAUAAGAUUUAUUGAUCAUUGAGAACUCAGUACCACACCAUACUCGUGUAUACUAUAAUAUUUAUCAUUGUUUAUGAUUAUUACGUGUCUUCGCCGAUAAAUUUAAUAUUCAUUCCUUUAAUUUUUUUCUAUUGACAUUGGAAACUGUCUUGAUUCUUUUUUGGCCAUAUCAUAUAUUUAAAAAAUUGGGAGGGGAACGUGGAAGUUGAAUCUGAAAUAAGAAUCAAAUGAUACAUGUGUACUUUCAAAGAUAAAACGCAAAAUAUAUCAUUUUUUUGUAAAACAUAUAAAUUCUACUAUUUAUGAUUAUUUUAAAUUUAUAUAAUCUAUAUUUGUAUGUAUAUAUAUUCUCCAUUUGUUCAUGAAAAAGAGUCUCAUUGUAUGCUGAAUACGAGUUUUAAUAAAAUGGUUGUAAGUGUGAAAUAAAUGUAUAAUUUGUAAGAGUCUUUACAUUAGAUUAUAUUUUACUCUCUUCGUCCUAUUGAUAAUGACUCACUUUUCUUUUUCGUCUGUCUCAUUGAUAAUUGCAUGUUCCAAAAAAACUGAAACCAUUUGACCUCACAAAAUGUUGUGGGCUCCACUACUUUUUAUCACUUUUAUCCUUUAAUUACUAUUCUUAUUAAUAACCGUGUCGAACAGUAAUGAACUAUUAUCAAUGGGAGGGAGGGAGUAAUAUUUUAAUUUUGUUUGCUGCCACCACCACCACCACCACCACAAUUUAAAAAAAAAAAUCUACGUGAAUAUAGUAAUUAUUAGAACAAAAAAAUAACUAUAAUAAUAAUAUAUUAAUCCGUUAAUUAUCUAUACUAAUAUAAAAAGUGCAUUUGGCACAAAAUAUAUAUUGCCUGUUAUAUCCCUAUUAUAGUAUUUUAUUUGAAGGACAACUUUGUAAAUUAUAUAUUAUAUAUUUAUAAGAAUAUAUUAUUUCAUUAGAUAUUACACUAAAUAUAUUUGAUAUAUAUCUAGAUCUUAUGCUAUAAUUUUUUUUAUAUUAAUUAAUUAUUAUAUAUUGUGAUUUAAUAGAAUUAUACAACUCUAAUAAUUUAUAAAUGUAAAGUUCAGGGAUUGCAUGCAAUGCACACAUUCUAUGCUAGAAAAAAAAUAGAAUUCACUAAGCCGAUGAUAAAUAACACAUACAACGUACUAUUUCUGCUAGUAAAUUAAAAAUCUAUAUGAUUUUAUCUUCUAUCACUACAUUAAUUAAAAUCUAUCUUCCGUUUCAUAUUAACGGUGGUUUUUCAAUAUUUUUUAUAUUAAUUACUACAUAUUGUGAAUUUAUUACAAUUGUUAACCUCUAACAAUUCAUUAAUAUAAAGUUGAUGGAUUGUGUGUCAUGCACAAACUCUCCUGUACUCAUCUAAAAGACUCUAUAUGUGAGAAGAAACCGCAGGAGAGUAAAAUGGUACAUAACAUAGAAUAGAAAGACUUUCACAAAAUAAAUGUUACAUUCUUCCCGUAGUCGGAAGGAGCAUGAAAAUGCGCGGUUAUUCGCAAGAAAGAAAGGCUCACUCAGCCACACAAAACAUGGAAAUCCUAAACACGGUGAUGCAGAGAUCAAGCGGUAACACGCGGGAUGAUCUUAAUACCACCGAUGGUAACAUCGUCGCCAUUAAUGUGGGGAACGAUAGUGACGACAAUGAAAUCAUCAUCAGCAAUAUUAAUGUUCUCAUAGAGUUCCUUCAGGUUCAAGUGAAGGUCGUUGGAGCUUUCCGUGGCCCUAACCCUGUGCGGAAUCUGCGUGAAGCACCCGGCGUACUCGGCCCUAUCGAGCUUCUGUGGCGUGUCGUCUGCAUCAUUCACGAACACAUCGAACCUCACGAGCUUCAAGCUAUCGCAGAUUAUGUCCUCCAGCACCAGCACUUCGUCGGCUUUGCCUUUGGUUGGUUUGGGCACCACAACCCUAUGAGGCUUAUUGAGAGUGAGAGGGAACACAUUGUCUCCGGUCUCCGCCGUCUUGGCGAGAUCUUCGGUAUUGACCGGUUCCGGCCGCUGAGGUGGCCGGCAGGUCAUCCAUGGUGUAUGGCUAUAUUCAUACUCGUAUCCCAUUUUUGUGUGGUCCAAGCAGUCGGCGACCUUAACGCGCACCAGCUUCCUCUUCUCGUUGUAGAACAUGAAGGAGGCGUUGUUGAAGUCGUCGGGGUUGGGGACGACGAGCUCGUUGAUAUCCUUCGGGAAAACGGAUGGGAUCGUUUUCCAUAUAGUCCACAUUCUGUCGACGUUAGCGUGAUGUGCGUAGAAGAGAGGGUCUCUUCCGGCGGAGUAGAAGUUCCCCAUGUCUUCGCGGAAAUUGUUGGCGGGGUUUCCGGUCCAGACAGCCGCCCUCCGACAAUCCUCCCUUGGAGCGUGGCGGGGGCAAGUCUCCGUCAACGUAAGGCUCGCCCAUGAAGUUGGUAGCGGAUUCGACAUCACCAACCAUUUCCUUGUACAGCUGAUUGAGGUUGUUGGAGAUGAUCUGUACGGGAUCGGUGAUCGGGGGGUUGGUUAGGGCAAGAGAAACGAUGGCCGGGGGCCGAUGCGUCGGGUCGCGGUUGACGUCGUAGAGUGGCGACGCGUCCCUGUCGAACAUCGAGGGCAUCUGCAUGCCCCUAGGGUUGUCCCAGUUCCAGUAGGGCAGGGCGAAAUCGAGAUCUCCGAUGAAUUCGCCCAUGAUUCUCUCGAAGAAAUAGAGGUACCACCUGUGUAGGGAUGAAUCCAGAAUUUGUCGUUAGGGGGGCUAAAUCUAAAAGUAUUUGCAGUGGGGGCUCCCGUCCGCAAGACAAUUUUUUUUAACCAUUCCGUAUAGAUUUAAUUGGCUUAACAUUAGAAAUCAGUCACUUACUAUAAAAAAUAGUUGUUCGCAUUCCAUUAAUUCAACAACAAGUACAUUUAAAGCAUAUACAAACCUACCUCUGUGCAAUUUUUUAAAAUAUUAUUUCGACUUCUAAAAGAAUAAACUAAUUUUCAUUGUUAAUUAAUAGUUCAAAAUUUUAGUUUAUCUUGAAGAUUAACUCAAAUUAAAUAUUCAAUAUUACCUAAUUAAACAAAAAUGAGACAAAAAUAACACAAAUUUUUAACAAACUAACCUAGCAAAUCACUGUAAAAUGUUAAGCAAUUCUUUCUUGUAUUUCUUCUAUAUAUUAAAAACAAAAAAAUUAGGGAGGGGGCUUCAGCCCCCGUGGAUCCGCCACUAACCUGUGGAAGGGGAAGAAGAUCCAUGAGUUGUGAACCUGGAUAUCGAUGCCGGGGUGGUCCACCUGGUCGUAGGGGCCGUUGCAGUAAGCGCAGUGGACGUUGGCCUGCUGAGUGAAGCCGCGGGGAUCGUUGGGGUCCGUCACGUCCAGAUCCUUCAUCAUCUGGAUGGCUUUCUCGUACUUGGCUAUGUAUUCCGGUGUCAGCCUGUGCGCCGCCGGCCUCCUGCGAAGCUUUGUGAACGUCGGAAGCGUGUACUCUUCCUCGUCGUCCGUGUAGGGCGGGCAGCAGUUGGCGUCUAGAGAUAUUAUCUCCCCGUUUCUAGAAGUAUAGGCACCUUUGGGAUCACACUUGCUCAGGUCAGGAGGUGAAAUCGGAACCGCCUCAGCUUUGCGGAUGAGGCCGCUUGCGCCGUAUAGACCACCCAGACCAAGCAGCAUGUUUCUGCGGUCUACACGGCCGCCGCCGCCUCCAUCACUGCUGCACGACACCUCAAAGCGGCGCCUCCGCCUGCUGGCGAGCUGGGAGGUGGUGCGGAGGUUGGGGUUGGUCGUGGUCGCCAUCACCAUGAAUGAAGAUUGAAGGGAAGCCAUGCUUGAUUGAUUGAUGCUUGCAUUGCGCUCGAGGCAUGCAUGUCUAUAUAUAGUAGGCGUGGACACGAGUUUUAAGAAAAAUAAUGAUACUUAAUGGGAUUAUUUUCGAAAAUGAAUUAGGAAGAUGUUUUGGAGACGAAAAUAGAAAAUUGACCUUUUGCCAGGCUGCCCUUUCACUAAAUGGUUGUAUGCACUUAUCUUUUUUUUAUCUAUAAAGAGGUAUUUUCUCCAUUUAAAAAACUUAUCGAGGUAAUUAUGAAGACUAUUCAUUUUUAUCGUUGUAAAGUUAAUUAAAUUAUAAAAAUUAAAGUUGAUAAAGUUCUUAUUAAACAUCAUCGCUCUUCUGUCUUUGGACGACAAAAUUAAUUAUUUCAAAUAGAUAAAGAACUUGAUUUUCCGAUAUGGCUUCUCAUACUAAUUAAAUAAUCUAAUCCUAUAAUGUAUUUCAUAUAAAGUUAUCAAAUUAACAAUAUUCUGUGUGAAUUUUUUUGCCUUGAGUGUGUGUAUAGAGGUAGUCAGGGCCGGCCCUGAGGGUGGGCGGGCAUGGGCGACGGCCCAGGGCCCCAAAAAUUUGAGGGCCCAAAAUUUUUAAUAUAUCCUAUUAAUUAUAGAUCUUAUGUAUACUAACAACAUAGUUCAUCUAUUGAUUUUGGGCCCAACAUAAUUUAUUCUCAAAUUUAGAUCUAUACUUAAUAUAGAGAGUUUUCAAUUUGAAAUCAAUUUCAAAGUAAUUUCAAAAUUGAGUGACUAUUUUGUAGUUAUAAUAUUAAUAAAAUUGAAGGUUUAUGUUUAAACUAUAUAUUUUUAUUUUUAUUUUUAUUUUCAUUUUCAUUUUCUUUAACUUCUUAUUUGUUGUUACAUUUCUUUCCAAAAUUGUGAAAUUCAAUUAAUUAUAAAAUAUUUAAUAUGCAUAUCAAAUUAAAGAUCACAAUAAGAGUUUUAAUAUGAUAUAUUUUAUGAAAAAUAUUUGAUUUAAAAUGUAAAAUUUAUGCAUGUUCAAAUAUUAAAGUUUUAUAAAUUUCUCUCACCUCUCUCAUCUUUACGAAUAAAUAUAUUUUUAAUUCUUUUAAAUUAGUAUUUUAUUUUUAAUUUUUUUAACUUAUUUUUUUGUUUUUGUAUUUCAUAAUAUCAAAUUUUAUAAUUGUGAAUUCUUUUUUUAUUUUUUUUAAUAUUCAAUUCAAAUAUAUAUAAUUAAAAUUAAUUUUUUAUUAUAUUUAUAAGUAUAAUAAUUAAAUUAGUAUUAAUUUUAUAUAAAUAGUAAAAACAAAAAAUAUUUCCCGUGCAUGAGAUGCAAAUGGUAGUUGCACCUCGCCGCCGGUAAUAUAUUUAAGUAUAUAAAUUAAUUAAUAUUAACAAGGCGCCCGGUGAUCACCGGAGGCAUCCUUGCCGCUGGUAUUUCUGCCGCUACUUUGAAAAAUACGGCCGUCGGUAAAUCUGGCCGCAAAUUGUGUACGUUUUUUGGUAGUGGUAAUAUAUUAGGGCCCAAUUUUUUAAUUUCGCCCAGGGCCUCAGUUUUGUCAGGACCGGCCCUGGAGGUAGUUAUAGAAUUUAUCUUUUGUGUUCUCAAAGGAACUUAAUUAAGAUCCAAUGUGAUUGAUACAUUUCGACUAAAUGGAUGGGCAAGAUUCUUUUAACGCCCAAUAUUAAUUCCAUCUCAAAUCGGAUCUUAUAUAAUACUGUAUUUUAUAUAUUCUAUAAUGCAUUUUAUAUAUUACGUGUCUAUUAAAUUAACAUUGAUCUUAGGAGUGAUACAAGUUUAAAAAAAAGCUAGCUGUAUAUUUGGUGAGUAGAGAAGGGAUUUCAGAAAUUAGAAAAAAUGGUGAUAGGUAGUGGAAUUAUUUUAAAAAAUGGACUAAAAAGAUGUUUCAUGAACGAACGAAAAUGGCAAAAUAGGAAGAUGAGUCGUGGUCGGAGGAAAUAUUAUAAUGCAUCGUAUCCUUUUUUGGUUCGUAUAAAGAUUUUUAUUUGAUCCUCAUCGAGAACAUGCAUAUUGCGAAUACUUAAUUUAUUUCAAUAUAUAUAUAUUAAUUUAUUGGGAGCAUAUGCUAAAUAAAUUAAAUUAAUCCGAAUCAAAAGCGCUUAAUUAUCACUACAUUACAUGCAUUAUGACAAAAAGCCUGCGGCUAAAGAUCUUCAGUUUAAGUCUAUUGUCAUAUUGUUUUUAAAAUAUUAUUUAUCCAUUCCGCAUAUGGAUUGGUCAGAUUUAGAUACACAAAUCUCAAAUGUAUUUAAUUAACAAAUUGAUUGAUAAAUUUUAGAAUUCAAAAAUUAAAUCAAUCAAAUACGCGUGUCCACAGUCAAUGGAUUGAAAAUAUGCAGGUAUCUAGAUAAGAUAUAUUAUUAUUAUUAUUACACUGUUAACUAUACUGCAGUACACUUUUAUAUAUACAGACAUAAUUAAAAUAUGCAGGUAUCUAGAUAAUAAGAUUAUUAUUACACUAUUAACUAUACUGCAGUACACUUUUAUAUAGAGAUAAUUACUAGAGAUAUGUGCUAUUACCCAUACUUCGCUCGAGACAGAAAUAAAUACGAUUGACCAUUCAAUUAAACACUACGACACCAUACUCGUGCAUGUACUAACGAUCUUAUUAUAAGUGCACCUUCCCGUGCGAUGCACAGGUCAGUAGAAUUGUAAUCGAUAUUGAUGUGAAUAUCAUCAUAUUCGAUUCGUAUUUGUGAAAAUACUCUAAUAUUUGAUUCAGCAUUCGAUUCGAUCACGAAUACUAAAUACGAUCCCAUAUUCGAUUCGAUGUUAUUUUUGAAUUAUUUGAUACAUUUUUUAAAAUUAAUUAAAUAAUUUUUUUACGAAUAUUCGAUUCGUUUUCCAUCAUAUUCAAUUCAAAACUAUUCGAUUUGAAAUUCUGAAGGAAAAAAUAUGUUAAAUAAUAUUCUAAAAAAUAUAGGAUUAUAUCCAAUAUAUUUACCUAAUAAUUAAACACACAAUAAUAAAGUGUUCAAUUCAUAUUGUUUUAUGUCCCGUGGUUUGUUUCUAGGAUUGUGGUAAUAAAGACUGAUUGGAUCAGUCUAGUACAGUUGUUGUUUGAAUUUGUAAUUUUGUGUAACGGCAUUGUCAUCUUGUUGAGAUUAAUAGGAGUUAAUUUGUUUAAUUAAUUAUUCAUGAGUUUCUUAUAAGAUACCUUCCUUCGUUCCGUAAAAAUAGUCAUAAUUUUUCAUUUUAGAACGUCCAUAAAAAAAUAGUGUUAUUCCAUUUAUAAACAAUUUAGAUCCUUACCUUUGGGAUGAGAUAAAAUGAAAUUCCAUUUUAAAUCAUAAACUAGCUAUAUAGGAAGCAUUUUCAGCUCUUGAAUUCAUCUGUUGUUCGAAUUUCAUAGGAAGCAAGUUUUUUUGACUCAUUAUUUUCACAGCGAAUUCAUCAUGUUACACAUACCCUAAAGUGAUAUAUUUACCCUAUUUGAUAACAUGAUAAGUAUAUUUGAAGCGCUCACUAUUUUAUUUGAACUUUAUUAUCGAGUUUAAACGAGUUUUGAAAUAUUGAAUUAAAUUGAAAUAUCCAUGUUGAUCGUUUAAGAAGCAAAUUUUUGGCAUGGGUUUAUAAAAAAUACAUCCUAGCCUCCAUCCCUAAUAAGUGCGGUGUGAAGGAGUGGGCAAUAGUUCUUUAAAAAUAAUUGAGAGAUGUGUAUAAAGUGGAUAAAAUGGCUUACUAGAGCUGAUUUGUUAGGCCUUACUUUCUCUCUGCCCCACUAAAAUAAGCUCAAUUCUUUUGAGAACAUAGAUUAAUAAACUUUCUUUUGAGAAGAAAAUUAAAGUGGUGGCAAAAGUAAUGUGGUCCAUACCAAUUAAGCAAUUUGAGUACAUUUUUUUUUUCACUCAAAAGGAAAACGAGCCUAUUCUAGCGGGACAUUCCAAAAUAGAAAACGAGCAUAUUCUGCUGGGACGAGGGAAUAAUAAAUUGUUUGUGAGAUGAGUAGUUUGUAAAUAUUGUGUGUGAAAGGUGUAUGUCUUAAAUUGAAAAGACCAUACCUGUAUUGUGAUUGUACGGAAAGGUGGAACUGAGCAUCGCGGCGGCGGCGAGGCAGGAGGCGGCGGUGGUGAGGAGAAUCGAGAGAGAGAGAGAAAGAUGCCAGCAGACAGUGACGGAGGGCAGUGGGCGGCCCUUGGCGGCAGCGGAGACGACAAGGUACUGGCUGUGCCAGAAUUAUUUAGUUGCAUAGGAUCCUUCCAAAUGUAAUUACUGAUUCACUGUUGGAUUAACAAGAAUUAAAUUACUUCAUAAUACAGUAUUCCAACUGUUCGAUAAAAGCCCUUAAUGAAAUCUUCCAUAGAUUACUUUGCAAAGUUCAUAAAAUUACUCAAAAGCAUUGUUGCAUAGUCCGUACAUAGAGAUGGUCGAUUAUCUUAAUUAUGUCUAGAUUUAUUUACGACACACACACACACACAUCACAAAAUCACACAUACUGACUAAUAAGGUUCCCGAAAGCCGGCAUUAUUAGGCGCCAUGGUGGCCGUGAAAUACCAUGAGACGAUAUCAUGGGUGGUGGGUCCGUCUAGUCUGGUGGCGGCGGAGAGCCCUACCUGAACCUGCUAAGGAAGAAAGCCGCUCAAAUCAUACUCAUAGCUGACUUCAAACGUCUUCGAGCCGGCGGUGGCACGGACGGCGAUCUACUUUGUGGAGGCGGCGUAGUUGAUCCUCGCCGUCACCUGCUGCUCGAGUAUGGAGCCGUCGACCUCCGUCGUGUUUCGGGAUGACCUAGACCCGAUGUCGAUGCCGAUGUGGGGAUAGUUCGGAUCCCACGCGCUGUUGACGUAGGUGUCGAACUCGACGGCAAAUACCGAGGGGUUGCUGCCGGAGGAGCCGAAGAUUCCGAGGUUGGCCCCGCUGGAGCCGGUGGGGAUGGUGGAGCGGCGAGAUUGGUGAUGCUGGGUGUGGUGAUGAAGUUUACGGUGGUUUCAAAGUCGACUUGGCCACCGGCUUGGGAGAAUUGGACCGGGUUCGUGUACAAGACCCGGCCGACACUACCGAUCUGCGGUCGCCUUGGUAGGUGAGGUCGGUCGGCUGGUUGUCCCAGAAGUUAUAGGCGAAGGCCGUUGAUCGGGACUUCGCCCUGUUGGUGGCGACGGCGAGAAGAAGGGCGAUGGAGAUUAGGGUUUGGAGAAGGUUGGCCAUGGCUUAGUUGUGCAGUGAAUGAUGUCUACUACUUGCUCCUAUUUAUAAUGAUCGAAAAUAUCUACUACUUACCUACCACAGAUCCACAUCAGGGGCCCUGGAUGGGGUGGUCGACUACAUAAGCCCAAAAAAAUAAGGGCUCGGAAAAUAUAUAGAUCCAUGUAAGUAUUAUAUAUAUGUAUAAAAUAAUUAAAAGCCAACUAAUGAUUGAAUUGAUUAACUUGGCGCAGUGGAAAAAGGACAUUUUUAAUUCCUCUUAAUUACCAAUAUUUUAUUUAGUGACCAAUUUUUUUGUUUAGAUAUAGGGCCCAGCCCCUAUUUUGAUAAAUUAAGUGUAUGUAUUUCAAAUUAACAUUAUUUUAAGUUGUCGAAUUUUUUUGUUAAGAUUUAGGGUCCAGCCCCUAUUUUGUUAAAUUAACUUUAUUUUAAGUGAAUGACAUAAUUAUUAAUAUAUUUAUUAAUUAUUAUGUAAUUUGAUAAAAAAAUGUUUUAAAUAAUUUUAGUUUAUAAUUAAUUUAUUUCUCAAUUAUAAAUAAAUGGCCUAAAUUAAAAAAUUCGCAAAGGGCCUAUGUUCUCUUAGCCCUACCCUUGCACUGUUGCACAUGGUAUAUAUAUCUAUUCUAUGAAUAUAAGUGAUUAUUUUAUAAACCACGUGAAAGCACUUGUUCCCACUAGCACUAUAAAAGCAAUAAAUACAACGGAAAGAAAAUAAAUUACAAUUGAAUACAUUAGGAGAAAAAUUACUUCUAACCUAUGGAAUUACUAACAACGAUACUUAUACCAAAGCUAAAUUGGACCAACUAACUGUACACUCUUGUAUUAUAUCAACCUACCAGACCUUAGUAUUCACGAGUCUCCCACAGUCUAGACUGAUUCACAAUAUAUACCAACAUUGGAACAAGUUCAGUAAUACACUCUAUUUAUAUAUAUUAUUAUAUACACAAAAAUGCAUGGCUGCUGUGGUAUUACGGAAGGAUCGAGAAUUACUCGAUCCUUGGGAAAAGGUUCAAAUGAAACCUUUAUUAUUACUCUCCGUCCCCCAAAUAAUAUCAUAUCCGAUUUGGGAUAUUACCCCACCACUAAUAAUACUUUAUUUAUUCUAACUUCUCAAUCUUUCACCAUUCUCAAUACUAAUUAUAACACAUUUUCAUCACUUUCAAUACUAAUUAUAAUUUCUUUUCUCCACUGCUAAUACGUACACUUAACAAUUUUUCCUUAAAACCAGUGUCGUCCCCUACUAAGAAGUUAUUUGGGGGACGUAGGGAGUAUUUUUUAAUGAUAUGGCAUCCAAAUAUGUUGUGACAAUCCAGUGAGCAAUAUCAACUUUUUGGAGCUGAAAACCGAUGUGAGGUACAACUAAUACACAAUAUGUUGUGGCAAUCCAGUAAUAUACCCUAAGGAUGCGUCAUCUUUUGUUGUAAAUUUAUCAUGGAAAAAUGAGGGAUAAACAAAAUUUCACCCAUUAAAUCCUUCAUUUUUUCCCUCAUUUCUUACAAAAUAGAAUUUGACCCUUACUCAUUUCUCAUUUUCACUGCAAAGGGGGGCUAAUAUUAUCUCUCUAUUUUUGGUAUAAUGAAGAAUUUGAUACGUAAUUACAAUUAAUUAUAAUGAAGUGUGUAUUUUAGUUGCUCAUAUUCUUGGAUUAUUUAUGCUUUAAUGAAACGAUCCACUGCCUUUAACAUUUUGGCAUUUUAAAGUAAACGCCGAAAUGCAACGAUCCACUGCCUUUUAAGUAAACACCCUUGCUAACCCCUGCAUGCGUUUUUUCAUCAAACACUUGGGUUCAUUCUUUUAGGCAUUUUAUCAAACAGUUGUGCUCAGCCUCAUCCUUUUGAUCACAUUCCCAUAUCUCUCCUUAUAUGAAACCGCAUUUUCUAUUUCUCAUAUAUUUCCUAUAUAAUAUUUCCAUCAUUUCUAGCUCAACAAUAAUUCUUCUAGCAAAAUUAUCAUUUCAAAUGCACUCUUUUCCUUUUCUACUUUCUCUUCUGCAUAACAGAAAUACUAAUCCACCAUAAAAUAAUCAUAACUUUUUCUUAAUGAUACGAUGAGGGCACAAAGUUGAGAUGAUAAAAUCAUACAUAUUGGCGAAUGUUGCCGCCGGCUUCCUCUGACUUUUGGAUGCUGAGGGGAGGGGUGGCGGUGAAAUACCAGGAGUUGAUGAUGAAUUUGAUGGUUGUUUCCAUGUCCACCUGCCGCAGAGACCGAGAUACGAUUUUAGAAACAAACGGCAAAAUUACAAUUUCACAUAUAAAAAAUAAAAGACAAUUAAUAAAGCGCAUAAUAUUGGUAAGAUGCUUCCAACCAAUAGGUCGGGAUUGUAUAUCGUGUGAGUGUGUUUUUCAUUUUUUAGUAAUAACAUGUCGUGCUCGGGGCUUUUUUCCGUAUCUGCCCCUGCUUCCCGUCGUCGUGCCCGACUCGUCGGUUUUUGUCAUGCGGAGGUAGGUGGUGGCGUCGGUGAAGUUGGCGUCGCCUUCCAAGCGUAGGCCUUCCGAAUGUGGCGGCUUUUGGUAGAAGUCGUAGGUGAAGGAGACUGCAUCGCCGACCGACACGGUGGCGAGGAGGAGGGCGAUGGAGGAGAGGAGAGGAAUUAAGGUUUGGAGAAGGUUGGCCAAUUUGAUUAAAUGUAUUUGGAUGUAGUGGAUGAUGGUGUAUCGAUCUCUUGCUCCUAUUUAUAGUUGUAAAUAUAUAUUAAUAAUGGUAUCAUUCAAUCAUUAUACUUUAGGCCGGCCGGGCCGGAUCCUCUAUUCCAAAUUCUAUGUCUCAUUGUUCAUAUUCACUAUUAAUUUCACUAUUUCAAUAAUUAAAAAAAUUCAUAGAGUUUGGGGCAGAGGAUCCCGUUUGAAUCCCACAUGGAUCCUCUGUCCCAUAACUUAUUGUGUUCCUUCCCAUUAUUAAUCUCGAUAUUAUAUUUCUACUUUGGAGUUAAUUCAUUAUAAACCCAUGAAAGAUCAGACGAAAUUCAUCCAAUAAACAUUUAUAAAUUUAUAUUUAAAUUUUGUUUCGCGGGUAUCUGAUAGAUAAUAGGUAUUCGUGGGUGGCGAAUUUGGGUAGCAUUUGAUAUUCAUAGAUAGUUUCAUGAUUAAAAUCCAAUAUUCAUUUAGUUCACGGGUAUGGUAUGACAGCCACUAUCUGUGUACGUCAUACCUGAUUGCCAGUAUGACAAAUAUAAAAGUUGUGAGAUGCACAGCAGCUUAAUUAUUCAAAUAGAAAUAUCAUCACAUGUGCAUUGAUAUUUCACAAAAUAAAUACUACUACUAAUAAAUACUCCCUCCGUCCACCAAAGAUAUGCCACUUUACUUUCGGUACGAGUUUUAAUAAAAUGUGAGUGAAGUUGGUAGUGGAGUAAGGGUCCCACUUUAAAUGUGAGUGGAAUGGUAUGGACCUUACUACUAAAAAUGGAUGUGGCAUAUUUUUCGUGGACGAACGAGAAAGAAAAUUGUGGCAUAUCUUUGGUGGACGGAGGGAGUAGUACUCAUUGAUAAUGCAUGCCAACACAUGGUUCUUGCAAGUCAUAUAUAUACCUCAUCAGCAAUAUAGUAAAAUGAUGAUUUGACAACCAGAUUAAGACACCAAUUAUUCUUGUCGGGACACAGACAUAUAUGCAUAUAGAAUUAAUAUUAUUUACUAUUUCGUUUAUACACGUGAAUUAUGCUUUGGAUGCAACAUCGCCACGUCUCUUUCAUUUAUACUUCUCUAGUGUAUUGCGGACAAAAUAGUUAGUGUCUUUAAGAAAUUAAAAAUUUUCAAAUACAUAAGAAAGAAUAAUUAAUCUAAUUGGUGCGCCGGCAACUAAAACUUUUUUCAAUUCACUUUAUAUUUUAUAUACUCCCUCCGUCCACGAUUUAAUGCCCCAUUUUAGUGUGGGCACGGAGACUAAGAAAACUGAAAAAGGUGAUGUGAAUGAAAUAUAAGGGUAGUUGACUAAAGUGAUAAAGAUGCUGUGAGUGGGUUCACUAGUGAUAAAGUAUAGGAAAUAUAGAAUAUAAAAAUGAUAAAGGUGUUUUAAGUUGGGUCCAUUAGUGGCAAAGAGUAAUAAAUAUAGAAAAAGAAGAGUAAAAAAGUACAAAAAGCAUAAUAGGGCUUUAAUUUGUGGACAAAAAAUUAAGAGCAAGUAGGGCUUUAAAUUGUGGACGGAGGGAGUAUUUAACAUUACAAGUCAAUUGCUUGCAGAAUUUGAGCUUGUCUCCCGUGAUGGAGACCUCACCAUGCGGCAACCCGUGCCUGCGCCUGCCUUUUUUCUUCCCGUCUUGCUCUAUCCAGAUAUUAUACGUGAUCCAACUCUUUCCAGAUAUUAUACGUAAAUGAUAAUUUUACUAACAAAAAUUACACUUUUUAUCAAUAACAAAUGAAACUAUGCAUACAAAACAGGAGGUAAAUGAUAUUUUUCUUAAUAACAACUGAUACUUUUUCAAUGCAAAUAAUACUUCGCAAAUGAUAUUUUAAUAUAAAAGUAAAUGAUACUUUGUAUAAAAAUAAAUGUUAUAUUACAAAUGACACUUUUAAUGCAUACCAAUGACACUUUUAAUAACAAAAAUUGAGAAAAAAAAAUUAGAAUUCGGCCUUAAUUAAAAUUUGGACAACAUUUAUUUGGGCAAAGAAGAAAAACACCUGAAUUUUUUUUUUUCCUUUUUUGAGAGAGAAAAACUCAUGAAAUUUCAUGCAAAAGGUAAUGCAUAGCCAACCGGGCUCAAUCAUCUUUCGGCGGUUUUGGUUUGAUUCUUCCAACAUCUAGGGUAGCAUUCACACAAAAUCAACUCGUGUUCAAAAAUCUGAAAUUAAAAUUAACGAUGUGUCUCAGUAUAGAGAUAAGAACAUACCCCUCAAAUGGUUCGAGCCAAGGUCUAAUUCCUUCAGCAGUGUGAUAUUCCAAAUUUGAGUAGGCAUAUAUCCGCCAAAGUUGUUGUCUGACAAGCGAAUACUCUCAAGUUGUGGACAUUGGUACAAACUCGAUGGUAUAUCUCCUUCCAAAUUGUUAAAGGAUAGGUUCACUAGUUUAAGUCUUUGAAGGUUAUUGUACGUGCNUAGACAACAAGAAAUAUCUAUUGUCUAUUCUAUGACAAAAAAAUUAAAAAAUUCUAAUAUAUCUGCAUCCCUGUAUUACAAUACCAAUAUAUAUGAAAAAAUAAAAAUAAUUAAAAAUCAAAUAAUCAAACAAUACUUAUAAACCACUAAUACUCACAAUCAAAUAUUUACACAUCAGUGUAAAUAUUGGGUUCGAGUCCUCUGCGUGUGUUGAUCAAGCGGUAAGGGGUUAAUGCCUAAGGUCAAAGGUCUGGGAUUCGAGUCCCCUGUGGUGUAGCCUUUUAAUUUCGUUAUUUAAUAUUGUAAAUUUAUAAAAAAAAAAAAGUAUAUUUACACAUCAACAAUUGUAUUAUCUUUAAUACGCCUUCAUUCAUCUAAUAAAAAAAAUCUCUAAUAAAAUCUCCAACUAACUCCGGUCAUGAUCAUCUCUUGAAGGCGGAGGAAGGUGGAGUCCGUCGGGAAAUGGGUACUGCCUUGAUAGAUGAGAUCUUUCGGCUGGUCGCCCCAGAAGUCGUAGGUGAAGGACGUCGUUUGGGACAACGCCGUGUUGGAAACGGAGAGGAGGAGGACGAUGGAGGAGAGGAGAGGAGUUAAGGUUUGAAGAAGCUGGUUGGCCAUGGCUUAAUUGAUUUAGAUUUAGAGAUGUGGUGGAUGAUGGUGGUAUCGAUCUCUUGCACCUAUUUAUACUAGUAUGGUUCAUGCCUGUUAAUAAUUGUAUAUAUCAAUCAUCGUGCAUCUAUCCCAAAUUAUAUGUCUUAUUAUUCACUAAUUAGAUGGAUUAAAUCCUGAUUAGUAACCAUAAAAUUAAACUGUCAAUGAGGCCUUGCUCUAGUGGCAAAGCUGUGACACCGAAUAACUUUUCUUUGUGAAAUGUCUUGGGUUCAAUCUCGCCUGCAUGCGGUGAUGUGUGUCCAUUUUAGGUGGUGUGGUAUUCUUGUCUGCGUGCGGUGUUGUAUUGUUUAGUGUUGAGGUCCCACAUGCAGAGCGUUCUUGCCUGUGUACGUGUCACAGCCCAAAACCAUUUAUUUUCUUUACAAAUUUUAUAUAUGAAAAUUAUUUAAUUUUUAAGUUAUAGAGUUUUUGAAAUAUAUAUAGUAUCAAUUUUAUGUUAACUUAGUCGUGUCCCUAAUUAAAAGAAUGACUUUAAAAUAAAACUUAAGCCUUAAAAAUUUAAUCUACAUUCAUAUAUAACUGAAAUUACAUGCAUGUCUAAAUAUUAUUUAUAAUUAUCAAUAACAAGAUUAAUGAUUCUAUAUCUCUAUGUUUAUACAUGUAUUCACGUAUGACAUAGUAUAUAUUAGCUAUUAAGUUAAAAACUAAUAAAAUACUACACUUUUGCAUAGGAUAUAUAUUUAAUUAGUAGUAGGAUAGGACACGUGUAUUAAUUUUAAGGGCAAGUAAUCAAACUUUUGAAUGAUUCAUCAUGCUUAAAAAAAAAAGAGACCUAGAUAGAUGAUUCAUCAGAUUCAAAAACAAGUAUAAAUAGACUUCGGGUUUGAAAUUUUAAUUAAUUUGCAACAACAAUUCAAACUGACUGUAUUAAGGUAAGUAGUUACAGAUUUCAUACACAUAUUAUAUGAUUUCGCACACAUAUUAAGGUAAGUAUAUAUAAAUAUUUUUUAAAAUCAUAUAUUAUAUAAUAAUUAUAUUUAAGUUUUAUAUUAUUCUUUAUAAACUAUUGUUUCAUUCUAUAUAAUUAGGUGUGGCACGACUAGGACGUAACUUUCUAUUGAAUUUCUCAAGUUAAUCUUAGAGUUCAAGUUUCAGGUGUGAGAUUUAUUUAAAUACAUGUCGUACGUGGUUAUUUAUUGUCCAUUUUAAUAAGAUGUGUUUACCAUAUGUGUUAUGACGCAUAUUUUUAGGAUAUCACUAGGUGCCCAUAAAUAGGAUCCAGGACUUCACCGUCCUUGGAUUGCCACAAUGCGAUUUGAGGUUUAUUUUGAGGAUGUCGUUAGGGGCCCGUACAUAGGGUCCAGGACUUUAAUAGUCAUUGGGUUGCCAUAGUGCAAAUAUUGAGGAUAUAUAUGAAGUGACCGUAUGUGUUACCGUUUCAUUAACGUGGACAAUGAUUGCAUGUUUAAGAGACAAUAACCAAUUUUUCAGACAUUUGUGAACAAAAUGAAGCAUGUUUAGAGAUCCUUAAUACAGGUGUACGAAAUGAUGGAUAAAUAAGUUUGUGAAACAAAUUUCACCAUACCUAACCCCACAAUUAUUUGCGGUCGAAUUUCCUCGUCACAGGAAAAAGAGAUGAUGACAAAAGGGAAAAAAUUAAUUAACAAAGUAGAAGAUGCAUGACAACUGUAAAAGAAAAAUAAUGCUACUAAUUAAAUAGUCCAAACUUCAUACGUUUCAUAUCAUAAGUGGCAGUUCUAUUUUUUUUUUUGCGAAUGUGAACAAAAUAACGAAUAAUUUUUAAAGUAAUAGUAAUAAGGAGAUGUGUUUUGACAGAAAACGACAUGAGCGGCCUAAAAAUAAGAGGGAAAAAGAUAAUCAUAUAAAUAUUCAAAAUCAAACGGAUUGGCAUGUAUUCAUCAUUUUUUAUUUUUUAUUUUGAUAAUUUAACAGUACUCCCUCCGUCCGUCAAAAGUAGACCACUUUGGUUGGGCACGGGAUUUAAUAAAAUUAGUGAUGAUUUUGAUGUAGUAGAGAAAGAGUUCCACCACUUUAUGAGAUGUGUGGUUGAGAUUGAAUUUGUUGUGAUUUUUUUGUAAAUAAAGAGUGUUUGUAAGGAUAAAAGAUUAAAGUGGGUGGUGGGACCAUUUCCAUAAAAGGAAAGUGGUCUACUAUUUGCGGACGCCCAAUAUAGUAAAAGUAGUCUACUUUUGGCGGACGGGGAGAGUAUUAAAUAAAUAAAUUUAAAGGUUGCACCCCUUACUGCUUGGCUUUUAGAUUAUGUUAUAAUAAUAAAAUUAACAGCACGUUUACAAUAUAAAAUUAAUUAUGAUAAAUACAAUAUAUUAAUAAUAAAUACUCAAUUACCUCUUAACAUAAUUCGCGCAUCAUGGCUUUUAGCUUAUAUUAUAAAGAUAUAAUAUGUUGUCUAUAAUAAUCGACGGAAGGUAAUAGACAACAUGUUUUAUAUGUUGUCUAUAAUAAUAUAGACAGUAGAUCUAGUGUUAUAGAUAACAAUUAAUACUUGUUGUCUAUAUGAUGAUAGACACCAAAAAUCUCUGUUGUCUAUUCUAUGACAAAAAAAUUUAAAAAAAUUCUAAUAUAUUUACAUCCCUGUAUUACAAUACCAAUAUAUAUGAAAAAAUAAAAAUAAUUAAAAAUCAAAUAAUCAAACAAUACUUAUAAACCACUAAUACUCACAAUCAAAUAUUUACACAUCAACAACUGUAUUAUCUUUAAUUACGCCUUCAUUUAUCUAUUAAAAAAAAUCUCUAAUAAAAUCUCUAACUAACUCCGGUCAUCAUCUCUUGAAGGCUUAGAAAAUGUCCAAAUACAGCGGCACAUGCUCAUUAUUGUGUGAGCGAUGAGAACUUUGCGCUGAACCUAUAAAGUAACUAUACUUAACUGGUAAAGUAAUUGUAUCCCGUGAAUCUAAAGGAAGACUACACACGUUGAUAGAGUUUGAAAGAAAAGAAUAAAGAGAAUGAAAAUCCAAAGAAUUUGCUUCUUCCGUUGAACAAUCCCUACACAACAUUGAAAUAUCAAUGAAAAUAAUGGCUAUCGUAUACUCCCUCCAUCCAUGAAAGAACUUCAUAGGAGGGAGUGACACGGGUUUUAAGAAAAAAUAUUGUUAAGUGUAUUGAGAGUGGAUAAAAGGUAGUUGAGUGUAUUGGGAGUGGUGAAAAUGUGUUAUAGUUAAUAUUGAGAGUUGUGAAAAGUGAAAAGUAAGAGGAUUAUAAGUGGUGGGGUAUAGUCCAAAAAUAGGUAGGAAGUUCUUUUGUGGACGUCCCAAAAAGGAAAGAUAUGAAGUUCUUUCGUGGACGGAGGGAGUAUUAUUUUGCAGCAGCAACCACGUUUGAAAACUCGAUCCCUCUGUUCUUGAAUUUGUGAAAUUUCCGACUGAUUUAUUAGAUUCACCAUUUAUUUCAGUUUAAUUAGUCUAUAUAUAGAUAUUUCUUAUAUUAUUAAAUUGUUAACCUCAUGGUAGAUUUCAAGAUUUGAAAAUUCAACAAAGAGCUUGAGAAUUAUUGAGAUUGGAAGGGGAAGAUGAAACAUAAUUGGGUGAAAUUAGAAACCAAUUAAAGUCACAAGAUUGAACAAAAACAUAACUUAAAAACACAAAAUAAGCAAAUCGUAGAUGCAGUAUCUUGCAAGAAAAAGUUCAUAUUCCCAAGGCUAUGAUGAGCACGAAUUAGGGUGUGUCUGCAUUUUAUCCCUCUAAAUAGAGGAAUAACAAAAUUUUAUUCUUUAAAUGUUUGCUUUCUUAUCACACAUUCUACACAAACACCAUUUUUUCUUCCUUAUUUUCACUUCAAGGAGGANUAAUAUUAUCCCUCCAAUUUUGGUGUGAUAAUAUUAUCUCUUCUUGAAGUGAAAAUAAGGAAGAAAAAAUGGUAUUUGUGUAGGAUGUGGGAUAAGAAAGCAAACAUUUAAAGGUAUAAAUUUUUGUUAUUCCUCAUUUAGAGGAAUAAAAAGCAAACACACAUUAGAGUCUACUUACAAUUUAGGCGCAGGCUGUGCGAGAAUUACUUAGUCGAAUAGGAUCCUAAGUAUUUAUAUUUCUCAUGUUCUUGUGUAUUUUUUUACUGAUUCACUAUUGGAUUAACAAGAAUUAUCUUACUUUAAAUUUCUUGCUUUAAAAAAAAAAAAGAAUUAUCUUACUUCAUGUAUGGUAUGCCAACUGUUCGAUAAAGGUCCUUUUAGAAAUCUUCUAUUGAUUACCUUGCGAAGACCACAAAACUAGACACACCCAAAAGCAUUCUUGCAUAGUUUAUACAUAGAGAUGGCCGAUUGAUGAUCGUCUUAUUUGUAGACUUAACGCGAGCAGACUCGAUCGCUUAGUCCUUAUUGAUUUACGACACACAUGCUCACACACACACAUACACACAUCACAAAAUCACACAAAUUGACGGAUAAUGUUGCCGUUCAGCUCCUUCCUGAACCUCACCGCGGCAUUUUUCUGCACCAUAGUGGCCGUGAAAUACCACGAGACGAUGUCAUGGACGGCGACGUGUUGUCCGGUGGCGGCGGAUAGCCCGACCUGAACCUGCUGAGGAACAAAGUCGCUCAAAUCGUACUCAUAGUUGACAUCAAAUGUCUGCGAGCCGGCGGUGACUUUCACGGAGAUCAUCCUUGUGGCUCCGACGUAGUUGAUCCGCGCAGUCACCUGCUGCCCGAGUAUGGAGUUGUCGACCUUCGUCGUGUUGCUGGAUGCCCUAGAGCCGAAGUCGAUGCCGAUGUGGGGAUAGAGCGGAUCCCACGCGCCGUUGACGUAGGUGUCGAUUUCGACGGCGAAGACCGAGGGGCUGUUGCCGUUGGAGCCAAAGAUUCCGAGGUUGGCUCCGUUGGAGCCAGGGGGGAUGGUGGAACCGACGGGGGCAAUGAAGAAGGCGAGGCCGUCGGCAGGCUCGUUGUCGGCGCCCGGGGUGAUGAUGAAGUUCACAGUGGUUUCGAAGUCGACCUGCCCACCGGACUGCGAGAAUUGGACCGGGUUCGAGUGCAAGACGCGGCCGACUUGUGAGGGCUGUGCGUCUGUGAGGCGGAGGAAGGUGGAGUCCGUCGGGAAAUGGGCGCUGCCUUGAUAGAUGAGAUCUUUCGGCUGGUCGCCCCAGAAGUCGUAGGUGAAGGACGUCGUUUGGGACAACGCCGUGUUGGAAACGGCGAGGAGGAGGGCGAUGGAGGCGAGGAGAGGAGUUAAGGUUUGAACAAGCUGGUUGGCCAUGGCUUAAUUGAUUUAGAUUUAGAUUUAGAGAUGUGGUGGAUGAUGGUGGCCAGGUAUCGAUCUCUUGCACCUAUUUAUACUAGUAUGGUUCAUGCCUGUUAAUAAUUGUAUAUAUCAAUCAAUCAUCGUGCAUCUAUCCCAAAUUAUAUGUCUUAUUAUUCACUAAUUAGAUGGAAUAAAUCCUAAUUAGCAAUCUUAAAAUUACACCGCCAAUGAGGCCUUGCUCUAGUGGUAAAGCUGUGGCACCGAAUAACUUUUCUUUGUGAAAGGUCUUGGGUUCAAUCUCGCCUGCAUGCGGUGAUGUUUGUCCAUUUUAGAUGGUGUGGUAUUCUUGCCUGCGUGCGGUGUUGUAUUAUUUAGUCUUAGGCGUUCUUGCCUGUGUGCAUAUCACUGUGUGACAAUUAAAAGAAUGACUUUAAAAUAAAAGUUAAGCCUUAAAAAUUUAAUCUACAUUCAUAUAUAACUGAAAUUACAUGCAUGUCUAAUUUUUUUAAUAUCAUAACAAGAUAAGAUUUAUUAAAUAAUUCAGAUGCAUAAAUAAAAAGUUAAUCUAUAAACACAGUAUAGAUAUAUUAUCAAUGAUAGGCCGUGUAUAAGUCUUAAUCUGUAAAACUAUAUCAUCCCAGCCUUAAACGACUACCAUUCCUGCUUUCCCAGAGCAACCACACUGUUCCCACCCACAAAGCUUUAAGCAGUACAUGCAUGUCUAAAUAUUAUUUAUAAUUAUCAAUAACAAGAUUAAUGAUUCUAUAUCUCUAUGUUUAUACAUAUAUUCACGUAUGACAUAGUAUAUAUUAGCUAUUAAGUUAAAAACUAAUAAAAUACUACAGUUUUGCAUAGGAUAUAUAUUUAAUUAGUAGUAGGAUAGGACACGUGUAUUAAUUUUAAGGGCAAGUAAUCAAACUUUUGAAUGAUUCAUCAUGCUUAAAAAAAAAAAGAGACCUAGAUAGAUGAUUCAUCAGAUUCAAAAACAAGUAUAAAUAGACUUCGAGUUUGAAAUUUUAAUUAAUUUGCAACAACAAUUCAAACUGACUGUAUUAAGGUAAGUAGUUACAGAUUUCAUACACAUUAUAUGAUUUCGCGCACAUACGUAUGUAUAUAUAAAUAUUUUUUAAAAUCAUAUACUCCCUCCGUCCCCAAAAUAAGUUCCUCUUUGGGGACGGCACGGAUUUUAAGGAAAAGUGGUAAAGUGUAUUAAUAGUGGAGAAAAAUAUGUUAUAAUUAGUAUUGGAAGUUGUGAAAAGGUGAAAAAGUGUUAUAAUUAGUAUUGGGAGUGGUGAAAAAGUGAAAAGUAAGAAUAAAUAAAGUAUUAUUAGUGGUGGGGUAGUUGUCCAAAAAUGGAAAAAAAGAAAGAGGAACUUAUUUGGGGGACAUCCCAAAAUGGAAAAAGAGGAACUUAUUUCAGGGACGGAGGGAGUAUUAUAUAAUAAUUAUAUUUAAGUUUUAUAUUAUUCUUUAUAAACUAUUGUUCCAUUCUAUAUAAUUAGGUGUGGCACGACUAGGACGUAACUUUCGAUUGAAUUUCUCAAGUUAAUUUUCAAGUUCAAGUUUCAGGUGUGAGAUUUAUUUAAAUACAUGUCAUGAUUAUUCAUUGUCCAUUUUAAUAGUAUGUGUUUACCAUAUGUGUUAUGACGCAUAUUUUGAGGACAUCGCUAGGAGCCCAUAAAUAGGGUCCAGGACUUCACCGUCCUUGGAUUGCCACAAUGCGAUUUGAGGUUUAUUUUGAGGAUGUCGUCAGGGGCCCGUAAAUAGGGUCCAGGACUUUAAUAGUCAUUGGGUUGCCACAGUGCGAAUAUUGAAGAUAUAUAUGAAGUGACCGUAUGUGUUACCGUUUCAUUAACGUGGACAAUGAUUGCAUGUUUAAGAGACAAUAACCAAUUUUUCAGACAUUUGUGAACAAAAUGAAGCAUGUUUAGAGAUCCUUAAUAAAGGUGUACGAAAUGAUGGAUAAAUAAGUUUGUGAAACAAAUUUCACCAUACCUAACCCCACAAUUAUUUGCGGUCGAAUUUCCUCGUCACAGGAAAAAGAGAUGAUGACAAAAGGGCAAAAAUUAAUUAACAAAGUAGAAGAUGCAUGACAACUGUAAAAGAAAAAUAAUGCUACUAAUUAAAUAGUCCAAACUUCAUACGUUUCAUAUCAUAAGUGGCAGUUCUAUUUUUUUUUUGCGAAAGUGAACAAAAUAACGAAUAAUUUUUAAAGUAAUAGUAAUAAGGAGAUGUGUUUUGACAGAAAACGACAUGAGCGGCCUAAAAAUAAGAGGGAAAAAGAUAAUCAUAUAAAUAUGGGUUAAUUGCCUCUAAAUACACCACCUUUCCUUGAAUUCUACAAUUGCACAUCACCUUUAAAAUCCGCCCUUAAAUACACCACCUUUCCUUGAGUUCUACAAUUGCACAUCACCUUUAAAUCCGCCCCAAAAUACAUCAUCUUUAUAUUUUUUCUGUUUUUGCACAUGACUAAAAAAUUCUCAAGAAAUAAAUUAAAGUGUUAAUUUAUAAAUUUAAAUAUCUUUUUAGCAGCGAAAACAUAAUAAAAUAAAAUUCUUUAUAAAGUUUAAAAUCAUAUAUAUAUAUAUAUAUAUAUAAGUAUUUUCGUAAAGAAAUAAAUUCUCUAAUAAAUUUUUAGAAAGAACUUGAAUUAAAAAAAUAAACAAGUCAUGACAUUAAGAAAAUAAAAUGAAAUUUUUAUUUUAAUAAAUUUCACACGAAUUCGAUAUAAUUUGGAAUUUAGAGUUACAAUAAUCAGAAGUACCACAUGAAUAAUAUAAUGAGUUUGAAAGAAAUUUUUUUUAAAGAGGUUCGACACGCCCAUUCGACUUUCCACGCGCCUCCAAUGUCAUUUACCUGAAAUAUUAANUAUAUAAGUAUUUUUCGUAAAGAAAUAAAUUCUCUAAUAAAUUUUUAGAAAGAACUUGAUUAAAAAAUAAACAAGACAUGACAUUAAGAAAAUAAAAUGAAACUUUUAUUUUAAUAAAUUUCACACGAAUUCGAUAUAAUUUGGAAUUUAGAGUUACAAUAAUAAAAAGAACCACAUAAAUAAUAUAAUCAGUUUGAAAGAAAUAUAUAUAUAUUUUUUUAAAGAGGUUCGACGCGCCCAUUCGACUCUCCACGCGCUACCAAUGUCAUUACCUGAAAUACUAAAUAUGGGAUAAGCAUACAUAAUAUACUUAGUGUGGGAACAUGCAAUUAUUGUCCACGUUAAUAAAAUAGUAACACAUACGAUCAUAACAUUCAAAACGACACAAUUUUGCCAAUAUGGAAGCCACGUCAUUUAAAGUGGUAACACCCUAAUCUAACUAAAGUGUUAAAUAUAAAUUUAAAGCGGAAAUAUAAUAAAAUAAAGUUCUUUAUAAAAAUAAAUAAAGAAUUUUAUUUUAUUAUAUUUCCGCUGCUAAAAAAGAUAUUUAAAAUUUAUAAAUUAACACUUUAAUUUAUUUCUUGAGGAUUUUUAAGUCAUGUGCAAAAACAGAAAAAAAAUAUAAAGGUGAUGUAUUUUGGGGCGGAUUUAGAAUUCAAGGAAAUGUGGUGUAUUUAGGGGCGGAUUUUAAAGGUGAUGUGCAAUUGUAGAAUUCAAGGAAAGGUGGUGUAUUUAGGGGAAAUUAACCCUAUAAAUAUUCAAAAUCAAACGGAUUGGCAUGUAUUCAUCAUUUUUUAUUUUUUAUUUUGAUAAUUUAACAGUAUUAAAUAAAGAAAUUUAUAGGCUGCGUCCCUUACUGCUUGGCUUUUAGAUUAUGUUGUAAUAAUAAAAUUAAAAGCACGUUUACAAUAUAAAAUUAAUUAUGAUAAAUACAAUAUAUUAAUAAUAAAUACUCAAUUACCUCUUAACAUAAUUCGCGCAUCAUGGCUUUUAGCUUAUAUUAUAAAGAUAUAAUAUGUUGUCUAUAAUAAUCGACGGAAGGUAAUAGACAACAUGUUUUACUUCUUGUCUAUAAUAAUAUAGACAGUAGAUCUAGUGUUAUAGAUAACAAUUAAUACGUGUUGUCUAUAUGAUGAUAGACACCAAAAAUCUCUGUUGUCUAUUCUAUGACAAAAAAAUUUAAAAAAAUUCUAAUAUAUUUACAUCCCUGUAUUACAAUACCAAUAUAUAUGAAAAAAUAAAAAUAAUUAAAAAUCAAAUAAUCAAACAAUACUUAUAAACCACUAAUACUCACAAUCAAAUAUUUACACAUCAACAAUUGUAUUAUCUUUAAUUACGCCUUCAUUUAUCUACUAAAAAAAAUCUCUAAUAAAAUCUCUAACUAACUCCGGUCAUCAUCUCUUGAAGGCUUAGAAAAUGUCCAAAUACAGCGGCACAUGCUCAUUAUUGUGUGAGCGAUGAGAACUUUGCGCUGAACCUAUAAAGUAACUAUACUUAACUGGUAAAGUAAUUGUAUCCCGUGAAUCUAAAGGAAGAAUAAACACGUUGAUAGAGUUUGAAAGAAAAGAAUAAAGAGAAUGAAAAUCCAAAGAAUUUGCUUCUUCCGUUGAACAAUCCCUACACAACGUUGAAAUAUCAAUGAAAACAAUGGCUAUCCUAUACUCCCUCCAUCCAUGAAAGAACUUCCUAGGAGGGAGUGACACGGGUUUUAAGAAAAAAUAUUGUUAAGUGUAUUGAGAGUGGAUAAAAGGUAGUUGAGUGUAUUGGGAGUGGUGAAAAUGUGUUAUAGUUAAUAUUGAGAGUUGUGAAAAGUGAAAAGUAAGAGGAUUAUAAGUGGUGGGGUAUAGUCCAAAAAUAGGUAGGAAGUUCUUUUGUGGACGUCCCAAAAAGGAAAGAUAUGAAGUUCUUUCGUGGACGGAGGGAGUAUUAUUUUGCAGCAGCAACCACGUUUAAAAACUCGAUCCCUCUAUUCUUGAAUUUGUGAAAUUUCCGACUGAUUUAUUAGAUUCACCAUUUAUUUCAGUUUAAUUAGUCUAUAUAUAGAUAUUUCUUAUAUUAUUAAAUUGUUAACCUCAUGGUAGAUUUCAAGAUUUGAAAAUUCAACAAAGAGCUUGAGAAUUAUAGAGAUUGGAAGGGGAAGAUGAAACAUAGUUGGGUGAAAUUAGAAACCAAUUAAAGUCAGGAGAUUGAAGAAAAACAUAACUUAAAAACACAAAAUAAGCAAAUCGUAGAUGCAGUAUCUUGCAAGAAAAAGUUCAUAUUCCCAAGGCUAUGAUGAGCACGAAUUAGGGUGUGUCUGCAUUUUAUCCCUCUAAAUGGAGGAAUAAUAAAAUUUUAUGCCUUUAAAUGUUUGCUUUCUUAUCACACAUUCUAAACAAACACCAUUUUUUCUUCCUUAUUUUCACUUCAAUGAGGGAUAAUAUUAUCCCUCCAAUUUUGGUGUGAUAAUAUUAUCCCUCCUACAAGUGAAAAUAAGGAAGAAAAAAUGGUACUCCCUUCGUCCCAAACGAAAUGUCCUGUUUUCCUUUUUGGGCUGUCCCAAACGAAAUGUCCUGUUUCCUUUUUUGGCAAUACACUCUCUCUCUAUACUUAAUAUUUAAAUAAUUUUCACCAACCCACUUUAUCUACUUUAUACACAUUUCUUAAUCUCCGUGCCGAAAAGAAAUGGGACAUUUCGUUUGGGACGGAGGGAGUAUUUGUGUAGGAUGUGGGAUAAGAAAACAAACAUUUAAAGACAUAAAUUUUUGUUAUUCCUCCAUUUAGAGGGAUAAAAAGCAAACACACCUUAGAGUCUAAUUACAAUUUAGGCGCAGGCUGUGUGAGAAUUACUUAGUCGAAUAGGAUCCUUAGUAUUUAUAUUUCUCAUGUUCUUGUGUAUUUUUUCACUGAUUCACUAUUGGAUUAACAAGAAUUAUCUUACUUUAAAAAAAAAAAAGAAAUGAUCUUACUUCAUGUAUGGUAUGCCAACUGUUCGAUAAAGGUCCUUUUAGAAAUAUUCCAUAGAUUACCUUGCAAAGACCACAAAACUAGACACACCCUGCAUAGUUUAUACAUAGGGAUGGCCGAUUGAUGAUCGUCUUAUUUGUAGACUUAACGAGAGCAGACUCGAUCGCUUAGUCCUUACUGAUUUACGACACACAUGCACACAUACACAGAUACACACAUCACAAAAUCACGCAAAUUGACGGAUAAUGUUGCCGGCCAGCUCCUUCCUGCUCCACGCCACGGCAUUUUUCUGCACCAUGGUGGCCGUGAAAUACCACGAGACGAUGUCAUGGGUGGCGACGUGUUGUCCGGUGGCGGCGGAUAGCCCGACCUGAACCUCCUGAGCAACAAAGUAGCUCAAAUCGUACUCAUAGCUGACAUCAAACGUCUGAUUGCCGGCGGUGACUUUGACGGAGAUCAUCCUUGUGGCUCCGACGUAGUUGAUCCGCGCAGUUACCUGCUGCUUGAGUAUGGAGCUGUCGACCGGCGUCGUCUUGCUGGAUACCCUAGAGCCGAAGUCGAUGCCGAUGUGGGGAUAGAGCGGAUCCCACGCGCCGUUGACGUAGGUGUCGAUUUCAACGGCGAAGACCCCGGGGCUGUUGCCGUUGGAGCCAAAGAUUCCGAGAUUGGCUCCGUCGGAGCCAGGGGGGAUGGUGGAGUCGACGGGGGCAAUGAAGAAGGCGAGGCCGUCGGCAGGCUCGUUGUCGGCGCCGGGGGUGAUGAUGAAGUUCACGGUGGUUUCGAAGUCGACCUGCCCAUUGGACAUCCAGAAUUGGACCGGUUCCGAGUACAUGACGCGGCCGACUUGGGACGGUUGUGCGUCUGUGAGGCGGAGGAAGGUGGAGUCCGUCGGGAAAUGGGCGUUGCCUUGAUAGAUGAGAUCUUUCGGCUGGUCGCCCCAGAAGUCGAAGGUGAACGACGUCGUUUGGGACAACGCCGUGUUGGAAACGGCGAGGAGGAGGGCGAUGGAGGCGAGGAGAGGAGUUAAGUUGGCCAUGGCUUAAUAGAUUUAGAUUUAGAGAUGUGGUGGAUGAUGGUGGUAUCGAUCUGUUGCACCUAUUUAUACUAGUAUGGUUCAUGCCUGAUAAUAAUUGUAUCAAUCAAUCAUCGUGCAUCUAUCCCAAAUUAUAUGUCUUAUUAUUCACUAAUUAGAUGGAAUAAAUCCUAAUUUGCAAUCUUAAAAUUAAACCGCCAAUGAGGCCUUGCUCUAGUAGCAAAGCUGUGGCACCCAAUAACUUUUCUUUGUGAAAGGUCUUGGGUUCAAUCUCGCCUGCAUGCGGUGAUGUUUGCCCACUUUAGGUGGUGUGGUAUUCUCGCCUGCGUGCGGUGUUAUAUUGUUUAGUGUUAAGGUCCCACAUGCAGGGCGUUCUUGCAUGUGUGCGUGUCACAACCCAAAACCAUUUAUUUUCUUUACAAAUUUUAUAUGAAAAUUAUUUGAUUUUUAAGUUAUAGAGUUUUCGAUAUAUAUACAUAUAGUGUCAAUUUUAUGUUAACUUAGUCGUGUCCCUAAUUAAAAGAAUGAAUUUGAAAUAAAAGUUAAGCCUUAAAAAUUUAAUCUACAUUCAUAUAUAACUGAAAUUACAUGCAUGUCUAAAUAUUAUUUAUAAUUAUCAAUAACGGGAUUAAUGAUUCUAUAUCUCUAUGUUUAUACAUAUAUUCACGUAUGACAUAGUAUAUAUUAGCUAUUAAGUUAAAUAAAAUACUACAGUUUUGCAUAGGAUAUAUAUUUAAUUAGUAGUAGGAUAGGACACGUGUAUUAAUUUUAAGGGCAAGUAAUCAAACUUUUGAAUGAUUCAUCAUGCUUAAAAAAAAGAGACCUAGAUAGAUGAUUCAUCAGAUUCAAAAACAAGUAUAAAUAGACUUCGAGUUUGAAAUUUUAAUUAAUUUGCAACAACCAUUCAAACUGACUGUAUUAAGGUAAGUAGUUACAGAUUUCAUACACAUUAUAUGAUUUCGCGCACAUACGUAUGUAUAUAUAAAUAUUUUUUAAAAUCAUAUAUUAUAUAAUAAUUAUAUUUAAGUUUUAUAUUAUUCUUUAUAAACUAUUGUUCCAUUCUAUAUAAUUAGGUGUGGCAUGACUAGGACGUAACUUUCGAUUGAAUUUCUCAAGUUAAUCUUCAAGUUCAAGUUUCAGGUGUGGGAUUUAUUUAAAUACAUGUCGUGGUUAUUUAUUAUCCAUUUUAAUAAUAUGUGUUUACCAUAUGUGUUAUGAUGCAUAUUUUGAGGAUAUCGCUAGGGGCCCAUAAAUAGGGUCCAGGACUUCACCGUCCUUGGAUUGCCACAAUGCAAUUUGAGGUUUAUUUUGAGGAUGUCGUCAGGGAUCCGUAAAUAGGGUCCAGGACUUUAAUAGUCCUUGGGUUGCCACAGUGCGAAUAUAUUGAGGAUAUAUAUGAAGUGACCGUAUGUGUUACCGUUUCAUUAACGUGGACAAUGAUUGCUUGUUCUCACACUGAGUGUACUCUGUAUGCUCAUCCCAUAUUUAACGUGGAAGGUCGAUUGACGAAUCAAAUAUUUUGUAUUUAGCUUUACCUAAAUAUGUUAUUUUGAGUAAAGUAUUUUAAAUAAAAAUUUAUUUCAUAAUUUUCUCAUUAAAUAUUUAUUUAUAUUCAUAGCUUUUCCGCACAAAUAUUUAUUUAAAUUUUAAUUAGAUUUGGGUGUCACUGUGCGGUGAUGUUUUUCCACCGUUUCGGUGGUGGUGAGGCCCCACCUGCGUGCACGUUAUAUACUUGAUUAUAUUCAGAUACCUCUUGUAAUUUUUAAAAAAAUAAUCAUAAAAUUAAACCAAAGCAUAUAAAAUUGAAAUUGGCCAAAAAAAUAUAUAAAAAUAAAUAAAAUUAAAAAUGGGAUAUAAAGUGAGACAUUAAAUGUGGUACACUACUGAAUCUCAAUCCAACACGUGGAUGCUACAUUGUACUUGUCGGAAUAUUAGAACUUCUACAAAAUAUUGCUAUUGGAAACGUGAAAUUUUAUUAUGAGAAAACUUAUACCUGACCCCACAGUCGUGGGCACGUGUUAUGUUGCGCGGAAAUUAAAGUGGUGGGGACCGUAAAUGGUAUUUUAGUCUUUUAAUUUAUUUUAGUAUACAAAAGAGUUAAUUUUAAAGAGGCGCUAAAAAACACAUCACUUUUAAAAAUUGGUAUUUAAAAUCUUGAACCCCUUUUAUUAUUUUAGAAAGAUAUUAAUUAAUUGAUAAAUUAAUAAAUUAUUAAUUGAAACAAUUAUUUUAAGCAAAUUUAAUUAUAAUUACCUAAAAAUUUAAAAAACAUAAAUUCAAUACCAUUCAAAUUCAACAAACUAACUUAAAUUUUUACUUUAAAAAAUCUUCAUCAAUCUUGCAAUCUCGGCUUGGACUAUAAAUGUUCAACAAGAGACAAUAACCAAUUUUUCAGACAUUUGUGAACAAAAUGAAGCAUGUUUAGAGAUCCUUAAUAAAGGUGUACGAAAUGAUGGAUAAAUAAGUUUGUGAAAAUUUCACCAUACCUAACCCCACAAUUAUUUGCGAUCGAAUAUCCUCGUCACAGGAAAAAGAGAUGAUGACAAAAGGGAAAAAAAAAUUAACAAAGUAGAAGAUGCAUGACAACUGUCAAGAUAAAUAAUGUUACUAAUUAAAUAAUCCAAACUUUAUACGUUUCAUAUCAUAAGUGGCAGUUCUAUAUUUUUUGCGAAAGUGAACAAAAUAACGAAUAAUUUUUAAAGUAAUAGUAAAAGGAGAUGUGUUUUGACAGAAAACGACAUGAGCGGCCUAAAAAUAAGAGGGAAAAAGAUAAUCAUAUAAAUAUUCAAAAUCAAACGGAUUGGCAUGUAUUCAUCAUUUUUUAUUUUAAUAAUUUAACAGUAUUAAAUCAAGAAAUUUAAAGACCGCGCCCCUUACUGCUUGGCUUUAAGAUUAUGUUACAAUAAUAAAAUUAACAGCACGUUUACAAUAUAAAAUUAAUUAUGAUAAAUGCAAUAUAUUAAUAAUAAAUACUCAAUUACCUCUUAACAUAAUUCGCGCAUCAUGGCUUUUAGCUUAUGUUAUAAAGAUGGAGUAUAAAAUAAUCAUCACCUGUGCAUGAUAUUUCACAAAAUAAUUAAAUAAUAAAAUAAUCAAUCAUAAUGCCAAGACGUGACUCUUGUCGGUCAUAUCUCAUCAACUUUAUCUAUAUAGUACAAUGAUGAUUAAUUUGAGAACGACGAUUAAGACACCAACUAUUCUUGUGGGGACACAUGCAUAUAUAGAAUUAAUAUUAUAAACUCUCUCGGUCCACGAAAUAACUUACUAUUUUUUCUUUUAAGAACGUGAACAAAAAAAAUUCCCAUCGAUAUUUCGGAACUAUACCCCACUACUUUAAAAUACCUCAUUUUACCCUUUCUUUUUCACAAAAACAACAAAUUACUAAUAAUUUUUCACUAUUCCUAAUAUACUGAACAAUUUUUCUCCACUCUCAAAUUUUGUAGCACCGAAUAAAAUUAAAUACUAGUAUUAUUUUUUGUAGAACUAUAAAUAAAUAUUAUUCUCAAAACAUGUACUAUUACUUACUAUUUUUUUUAAAUGUGGGACGACCAAAAAAGGAAAGAUGAAUUCUAAAAGCUGGGACAGAGGAUAUAUUAUUUUUCUUCUUGGUUCUGAAGUAUGAAUAUUAAUUAACAAUUCUUCGUCCACAUCAAGCUCACCUUCACGUAAUUUUUUCUUGAACAACACCGAAAAAUAUAUAAUCCCAACAUAGCAUGAUCAAUCUCAAUGCACCAAACAUAAAUUAGUUUUAAAAUAAUAAUAAGAUUAACUACUAUAUUGCUGAAUUAUGCAGUAGAAUUAAAAGCGUGAUUUUUUUUUAAUAGAGCAGGUUAAUCUAGGCCUACCUGAACCAUCUGACUAUGCAUGAGUUUGAUUUUUCUUCUUGAUCUUUUUUAAUUUUACCGACAAAGAAGAUUUUCACAAAUGAAAAGAAAACGUUCUAGUAACAUACUACAUGCUUACUUCAGAUUUGCAACCAAGUCUAUUGAGGGUUUUAUUUGCUACAUAUAUAAACACAAGGAUUUGGUUUGAUACAAAUUAAGAAUAUUCAACUUUCAUCGGCUCAAGCACAUAGAAUCUCCCCGAGUAGUUAUAACUGGUCAAUGUUUUUGCCGAUAAAAAGGAAAAGGAAAGAAAAAAGAAAGAAGCAAGACGGAGAAAAAGUUGUAGUAAAUGAUUAUGCGAUGAAAAGAAAAUGGAAAAGAGAAAGAAAGAAGAAAGUUGUAGGAAUUUUGAAGAAUUUGUACUUAUUUAGAAUUGUGGUUAUUGUGGGAUCUUGUAUAAUAAUAAUAAUAAUAAUAAUAAUAAUAAUAAUAAUUAUUGGGCCGUUCCACGAAUCUUGGCACAUUUUCAAAUAAGGUAAUAAUUCAUUCUCUCUCUUACUUUAUCACUUUAAUACUUUAUUAACUACAAACUUAAAACACUAAUAUACAAUUCCUUAAUUCCCGUGUCGAAACCAAACGUGUCAAGAUUCGUUGGAUGGAGGGAGUAAUAAUAAUAAUAAUAAUAAUAGUAAUAAUAAUAAUAAUAAUAAUAAUAAUACAUCAUUGCCCUUUAAAAAGUUUUAAAAUAGGAACAUAAUAUGUAAAUCUAAUUUUGUAAAAGAAGCUCUUCUAUAGUAAUAGUUAUAGAUUUGGUGUGGAGGCAUUUGUUUGAGAAUGGGUAAAACAUACCAUUAACCCUUUGAUAUAUGCACGAGACACUUAUUUGUGGAUAGGACAAGAAUUAUUUUGUUGCAUAGGAUCCCUUCCAAAUGUAAUUACUGAUUCACAAUUGGAUUAACAAGAAUUAACUUACUUCAUAUUCAGUAUUCCAACUGUUCGAUAAAAGUUCUUAAUGAAAUCUUCCAUAGAUUACCCAAAUGCAUUGUUUUGCAUAGUCCGUACAUUGAGAUGGUCGAGUAUCUUAUGUCUAGACUUAACGAGAGCAGACUCGAUCGCUUAGUCCUUAUUUAUUUACGACACACACACAUCUCAAAAUCACACAAAUUGACGAAUAAUGUUGCCAGCCAGCUCCUUCCUGUUCCACGCGCCAGCAUUUGUCUUCACCAUGGUGGCUGUGAAAUACCAUGAGAUAAUAUCAUGUUUGGCGACGUAUGGUUGGUUUAGUCCGCUGGCGGCGGAGAGCCCUACCUGAACCUGCUCAGGAAGAAACUCGCCCAAAUUGUACACAUGGCUGACCUCAAACGUCUUCGAGCCGGCGGUGGCACUGACGGUGAUCAUCUUCGUGGCUCCGACGUAGUUGAUCCGCGCAGUCACCUGCUGUCCGACUAUGGCGUCUCCGACAUUCGUCGUGUUGCUGGAUUCCCUAGAUCCGAGGUCGAUGCCGAUGUGGGGAUAGUUCGGAUCCCACGGGCUGUUGAUGAAGGUGUCGAACUCGACGGCGAAGACCGAGGGGCUAUUGCCGUUGGAGCCGAAAAUUCCGAGGUUGGCCCCAACAGCGCCACUGGGGAUGGUGGAGCCGACGGGGGCAAUGAAGAAAGCGAGGCCGUCAGCGGUUUUGCCAUCGGGGCUGGGUGUGAUGAUGAAGUUAAUGGUGGUUUCAAAGUCGACUUGGCCACCGGAUUGGGAGAACUGGACCGGCUUCGAGUACAAGACCCGGCCGACCUGGUAUGUCUCGAAGUCGGUGAGGCGGAGGAAGGUGGAGUCCGAUGGGAAAUGGGCGUGGCCUUGGUAGGUGAGAUCGGUCGGCUGGUCGCCCCAGAAGUCGUAGGUGAAGGACGUUGUUUGGGACCACACCGUGUUGGCAGCGGCGGCAAGGAGAAGGGCGAUGGAGAUUAGGGUUUGUUGAAGGUUGGCCAUCGCUUAAUUGAUUUG